GAUGAGCUUGGUUUGUGAGAGUACUAGCUAGUCUUGAGGCCAUUUAUAUAUGGGAUGGAAAAACAAUCUUUUCACUUUUUAAAAAAAAAUGUAUUUAAAAUUUCAGAUUUUGUAUAUAUCUUGAUUUUUAGUUUUUAAUUUAGACACUCAUUCAAUGAUCCAAGAUACAUAGUCUAUUUUUCACAAAUACAAUUACGAUAAUAAAAUCACAGAUUUUUAAAAUACAAUUACUAUAAUAAAAUCACUGGUAUAGUAUCCUAUUGGGAGUUAUUUUGUUUUUUUUUUUGUUUUUUGGCAAAGGGGAGUUAUUUUGUUUAAGAAACAGUUUUAUUUUUUAAUUUAUUUGAAAAUUUACUCUAUAUAUUAAAAAAAAAUCAAUGUAGAACAGAUUUUUUUCAGUUAUAACUUUGUCUAAUAUAGAAAAGACUUUGUUUUCAGUUAUGAGUCAGUCUUAUGAUAUGGAGUCUAUCUUCCACAAAGAAAAAUAUUAUAUAAUAUAUAUACAGUUUUUAAACUGUGUUUUACCUUGUAUUAUAUUCUAAAAAACAGCUUUUUUAUUUACUUUGUUAAAACUACUUGAUUUAAUAAUGUUGAGAAGGCAAAACAAAUAUAUAUCACACUUUCUCUAUUGAGCUAUAACUCAUAUCUAAAGUUUUACUUUACAUCAUAAUCAUCUUAUGCAUAAUUUAAGUAACGGAUUUUAGAACUUGGAUCAGAUGAGAAGUGUGUGUACUAAUAAUUUUUAUUAUUUGCAUAUCUACAUAUACAUUUUUGCAGCCUUUUUGUGAAAUAAAUCUUGGAGUUGAGACUUAUUUACAAUGGCUGCCACUAACUUUUAAUUAUUGGUUUUUUUGGGUAAUAAAUUAAUUAACAAACGAAAAAUAUUCCAAAUAUAUUCUAAUCUCAUAUGUCACGCAGAUAUCUCCAAAAUUUGAAUUAGAUUUCAGCAACUAUUUAAAACAAAAAAUGUUUGACAAACCAAAAUACAAUUGAAAUCCCUUAAAAUGAGCAAAACACACCUAAAUACAUUCUUUAUCUAUACAAUAAAUCUUAUUUCUCCAAAAUUUGAGCUAGAUUUUGGCAACUAUUUAAAACAAAUAUUUGUUUGACAAACCAAAAUACAAUUGCAAUCCCGUAAAAUAUUUAUUUUAAUUAUAUAUUUAAAUUAGCGGUGUACCGCGGGUUUUUUUACGGGAUAGAUUUGGCGGGACGGUUUGACAAGACGUUACUUAAUAACAAUUGUAAACUAUAAAAUAAAAAUAUUAUAUAAAUAGAUUUAAAAAUUUGCAACUUUAAUAUAUACUAAUUUAAAAAAUAAAUUGUUCUCACGGUAUACCGCGGGUUAAAAUCUAGUUCGUUUACAUAUUUGAUUCUAAUAUAUCUAACGCCUACGAUAUGGUGUUAUGUCAGUUGCAUUGACAUUUUACUAGAACAAUUUAAAUUAAAUUAUGAACAAUAGAAAAGUUAUAUGGAUGCCCAUUAUACGGCAAUUAGUAGAUCCUAGAAGAUUUAAUCUCUAACAUAAACUCUAAUGUUGUAUUUCAAUGUAUAUGUCAUAUCUUGUAUAAUUGAUUGAUAACAGAAUGCACAAUUCCCUAAAAUCUCUUUGUUCACAACAAAUUAGUAUAUGUAUCUUGAUGAUUUAUACUGCACAUAUAUGAUUAUAUAUUUAAAUAUUUAUAUUUAAUAUACUGGUUCAAGUUGGAGAUAAAAAAUUUUAAUUUACAAAAAUAAGUAAAUAAUCUAUUAACCCUUAAAAUGUACAUGCUAGAUUCUAGAACGAUUAAAUACCAUCUAGCGAUUUAUUAAAUAUUGGUAAUUAAUCUGCAUUCCAUAAAUGUCAAGUUAAACGUACGAUAUUUACUAAAAACUUGUGAAAAUGGCAUACUACUUAGUAAAAUUUUAAAUGUAAUAUUGUGGAAUUAGUAUUGUAUUAGUUUACCACUAUCCAAAUUCAACUUCGCAUACGCUUUUAUUUAGAUAAGACAGCUUUUUAUAUACAUUUAUUAGCUAGUACACAAAAUAUGUGCCCAAUAUUUGAUGUGCAAAUGAGAGAAAAAGUCAAUACAUCUAUUUGUAAGCUCCGCUCUUAACUUAAACAUCAUCAAGCCCACUUGGCCAUGACGGACAUGCCACCAGCACCAAGCAAAACGGCAGCAUAUGACUUUAAUUGAAGCUUGAUGCUCCUUUGCAUUUUUUGACCCAUAAAAUCGGCAGCUAGAAGGUCAACUAAAGCCAUGUAGAUGAGUAGUCCUGCCGAGGAAGCGUUGAGCAACCCAACUGUUAUAAGCGAUUCAGGGCUAUUCUCUUUGUAUGUUUUAGAUAGUGCCAUCCCUAGAACCACUCCAAAAGGCGUCGUCACCGCAAAAAAGAAAGCCAUCACCGCCUUUUUAACCCACCCGUACUCCGCCUACAUGUAUUAUCAAGUUCUCAUCAUAUAUAUGAUUUCAUAUCAAUUCAUUCAAAAGCACGACGUUUUUCAAGAAAUCAAACCAUGUGGAACUUUUUGUGUUUAAACCAAGAAAAGGAAGAAAAAAAAAUCAUGUGGAAUUUAGUUUAUAGAACCAGAAUGGAUGGGAGUAAUUACUCGGUCCGACUAAUAAAUUAAGUGGAAAGGAGGAACUCACCUGAAGGAUGCAACCGCCGAGACCCAUGCCUUCGAACAUUUGAUGGAAGCAAAGCGCAGCGACGAGUCCUUUGAUGGUGCAAGUAUUGUUAGUGUCUCCUACCGAUAGUCCUAUCACUAUCGACUGCACCACUAUUCCUAGCUCCAAUACCUAUUCCAUUUUAUUCAUUUCAGCUACUCACUUAUUAAAUCAUAAUUAGUGUAAAUGGUUGUCACUCAAAUAAAAGCAAAAGAUGAAAUAUAAUUAGUGGAAUAAAUUAAAAUGAAAAAUUACUUGUUCCUUUUUUUUUUAACAAAGAACUGUGUUUUAUUUUUAUUUUUCUAACUAACACAACAAACAGGGUAACAAUUUUGUUUUACACUAUGCAACCUACAAUUAAAAUUUGAGUUACCAGUUAACCUUAGAAAAAUGGCAUAUUAAUGCCUUCGUAUGUGAUAAUGUGAAUAAUCAUUUUUUUCCUAUAAACGAACCAAGUUAUAACAAUUUCACUUAGCUUUUAACACAAAUGUUUCUCAAUGUGAGCAUUUAUAAAAAAACAAUUUAUCUGGUUUAAUGUUAAAAAAGCAUUUUUGUAAUUAAAUCAAGUUAAGAGAGUUUUAUUUUUACAAAAAAAAAAAAAAACGAGAGUGAAGGAAUACUAACGAUUGCAAGAAUACGAUACCGCAGAAGCUGUAAAUAAGAACCAAGCUCUUUAUCAUUCUCUCCAUGAAGAUUGUGAGGAAGAGUAUGGCUAUGAACAUGGCCAUGAACCUGUACGUGCCCUAUCUCUUGGUCAGGAGUCUCAACGGAUGCUACGUCAGCACGUAGAUCUUUCCUUCCUGACUUGGUGAAGACGCUGGUGGUAAUAGAGUCAACCAUGAGCGUGAACACGGCAGACAUCAUGGCUACAAAGCCGGCGAAAGGAAACUUGUGCCAGGGGUUAUCGUUAAGACAAGGAGAUGAAAGCAUCUCGAAAGAAUCAGGCAAGACAUGCAUGAAACCAGUGGAAAGGAUGAUUCCGGAGGCGAAAGAUUUUACGAUGAGGAAGUGAGAUUUCUCGGGUUGGAAAGCGGGAAUUGAUCGGGCAAAGAACGGGAGGCAAACACCGAUUAGACUAGUGAUGAGAAUUGAGAAGAUUGAUAAGAGUUUGAGAUCUAAUGCUUUGUUUUUGUCUAUACAUGAGUAGUUGGAUUUUGAUUGGCAAUCUUUAUUGGAUUGAGAGAGAGCUCCCGGGAAAUGCGAGAUGGAGAGUAGGAGAAAGAGAGCGAUGGAGGCAGAGAAAAUGACAUGAGAUUUAGUCAUCUUUCUAUUUGUUUCUUGUGGAGUUUUUUGAGUUUGAUACAAAGUACAUUAUGUCUUAAUCUUCUUAUAUAAGACAAGACUUGAACCCUCGACCUCAAUCAAAGUAAGUGUCGACAUUACUAAUUAAUCAAUUGUCAACAUGUUUUGUUUAGAAGAUAUUGAAAUACUCAAAAAAAGUCUAAACUAAUUCUAGGCAUACACACACAUAUAAAUUUCUUGAAUAUGUUCUCACUUGCAAAAUAAAAUAAAUCAUGAUAGUAGUUCUUGGUUAUAACUUAUAAAGAUAAAGAUAUAUAUAGAGAAAAAGAAAUUCAAUUUCAUAUAUAUAGUCAUUAAAUCUUUAGUAUUAAAUAAAAUGAACUGUAAUUAGGUGUUAUAUUUUUCUCGUUGUAUACGGGAGUAAUAAACUAAAAGUAAUCAAAAAGGUUAGAUAUUAUUGUAUAGGUCAAAUUUCUUGACACUUGAUCAAACUGUAUAAAUAUCUAUGUUGGGUUUAAUAUUACAUGUUGAAAAACUUUACCUAUCAUCAUGUUACCCACGUUAUACAAAUAUCGGCAUAUGGAUAAGCCGUCACACUCCACAGUCCAUAUAUGUACUUAGUGUACGUUUUUAAGUACAUGAUGUAAUACAAUAAUAGUAUUCUUUUUUAUUGUCAAAAAAAAUUAUAAACCCUAAGUUGACUUCUAACUUUUUUAAAGCUGCUAAUCCAUGUGGAUGAGGUAUCGGAGGAAUGUUUCAACAAAUGAACAUUGAUGUGAUUGUCUUACAACGACAUACUAAGCUAUAAACAAAUUGAUCAGCUUUAUCAAAAAAAAUUGAUCAUGGGUAGAGAAGGAUACAUAGAGGUUUUGAGCUCGGCUUGACGCGAGACCUAAGACUCGUACGAGGAAUGACAGACUUGUCAGUUUUGUGUAACCAACAAUAUCAUAAAUAUGUUAGGAUUUAGUAAAGAAGAACACAACAAUUGAAGCGGGAAAAAGAAGACAAUGCCAGCUCAGCUUGAUACACGUGGAUAUGCAGGACCACAAGACAAAGAAUACCCGUUUUGCUUGUCCGCUAAAGCAAUGGUGUACGGAGGAGACAACUCUUGUCUUGUGUGUGAAGGCAGAAGAGCCGUUACGCCUGAACCAAAGCAGGCUACAAGACAAGCUUGGAGGCUACUGCAGAGGAGCGUGUAGAGGAGAGGAACCGAGAAGGAUCCAGAAGGAGACUAGGUUAAAAUCUCUUGCUCUAUUUAAGUUGAGCAUUGUAGAGAGAGAAAAGUUAAGAAACACAGAGGCACUUAAUCGAGAGUAAACUUGUAUUGGGUGUUCUUGGGGAAACAGAGAGUGAAAGAGAGUGAAUCUUAGUUAGCUUUGUAAGGGGCUGAGAGGGUGAGAAAUCUCUUUGUAAAUCUCUAAAGGUUGAUAUAGUGGAUUCCGGGAGAGAGUUCCCGGCCCAGACGUAGCACCGUUGGUGUGAACUGGGUUACCAUUGUGUGUGUGUUCUGUUCUGCAUUUCUCAUUACAAAGGUUCUGUUUUUGGUUCUAAGUCGAAGUUGGUUCUAAAGCUGAAACGUUCUUGGUUUGUGGUGUGUUAAUCUUCACAAAAUAUAUAACUUCAAACUUUAAAAGAAGGAAAAAAAAAUCGGUGAAAUUUAUUUGAAAAAGCAAUUUGGAAUAGGUCGAACAGAAUGUUAUAAAAGCUCGUUGUUGACAUAUAUAUAAUUCGUACGAAUGUACUUCGCUGACUUUACUUCUACUUACAUCAUACAGAAUACGAAUCCUUUUGAUAAAAGUUAUUAGUCGUGUUGAUUUCGAAAUCGCACAACCACUGUUAUUAUACAAUCACUAAUCCAAAACCACCUCAUUCGUUGUUAAAGCUAAUAUAAAUUCAUCCUACCAAAAAAAAGCUAAUAAAAAUUUAUUUGGAAAUUGCAACGAAAGAUCUUAAAAAGUUUAAUGUUUUAUAUAUUCGGAUUAUGUUAUGAUUGGUAUAUGAAUCGUUUUAGUUGAAUUGGUAUAUAAUUUGGUGGUCAAGUAGGUUUGCAUAAAAUUUAAAUACUAGCUAGCUUUAUAAACUUACAUUAUACAUAAGCACAUGCCUCUCAUAACAUAUAUUGGAUUUUGGCCUUUUGGUCGUUUGAGUCAAGCAAUUAAAAUUUUAUUUGAAGAAUAAAUUUAAACUAUCAAUAUUCAAUCAUGCCAGACGAGUCGUUAAAAGUCAAUGGAAUUAUUGGUUGAUAAGAUGAGAUAUUUUCGAUCGUUCUUAUGACUAUCUAGAUAUGAAGAUGAGUCAUACAAGCUAUGAGUUCAAAAACGGUGUAAUUUUGCCUUGUUUGAAAGGACACAACAAUUAUGAAAUUGUGUUAGUUUAAUAAAGGUUUAUGAGUCUUUAAGUCAAGACGACGUGCAUAAUCAUAUGGAAUGAACAAAUAAUUAAUCUUGUAAGCUUAAUAUUGUUACUUUGCUAGUAAGUUCUGAAUUUAACUUUGACCAAAACUAAAAAGUUUUGAAUUUGAUAUUCACUUUGUUAUACGCAUAUUUUAGAAUAGCAAUGAAAUUGGAAAAUUUAAAAGUAGUAUUGAUUUUUUUUUUUUAAUCAAAGGUUUGUUUUCAUUCCAUUAGAGUAGCUAACACAUACAAGGAUAAAAGGACUCUAAGAUCCCAAAAUUUAGAACAACAUAAUAAAGGGUAUACCCCAAAAUUACUAACAUGAAAAUAAGAGAGUAGAUAGAGUUAAUCGACAAAUUAUCUUUUGAGAGCUUUGAACCAAAAGCUAAGGGGCUUUGUAGAACAUGUAAGGUCAAGGUUUGUCGAAGUUUCUUCCAAGAGCGAGUCAUUGGGUGAACGAAUUGUUAAUGUCGAGAGAUGAAAUAUCGUUGAUGAGGGGGCUAAAGAUAAGCUUCUCGCCGACACGAGGAGAACUACACAAAAUAGUGAUUUAGCAACUGUUCGGGCAAUGGUGGUGGUGUCGCAGUGAGGGUUUAAGGGCAUUUGACCAAUGUUGAGCAAGUAAACAAACUCGCAACUUACGGUAUUUGGUGAAGCUAUUAUAAGGGUUCGCACAUGGAGAGAGUGUAAAGCCGUAACAUAAUAGGUGGAUCCUCUCUCAUAUUGAUUAUGACUUCGAUGAUGCUAAAUCACAAUUUGGUAUUGUGCAUCCGUUCACAAAAGUUAAUUAAAUCAUUCGAAUUGUAUGUUCUUUGGCGACCCGUACGAUACUUGUUUGUUGAUAAUCCACACACAUGGGCUGAGGAAAGUUUUAACCUACGGCCUAAGUACUAAUCACAUUCUUUAAUCGAACUUAAGGCCCAAGUGCUAAAUCACGACACAUUCUUUUAAUUUCAUCAGAGAGACAAUAACCGUAACAGCGCAACAAAUAACAAACUUUAAAGACAAAAUGUAUUUCCAAAGAGCAAACGUGAAACAGAAAGAUCGUGGUCAUAAAGACAACAUCGUGGGUUCAAGAUGACUAGAUAAACAUGAGUUAUGGACCUUACGGUUUUCCAAAAAUCCAUUUUUUAACCAUUCAUUAUUGGAUUCUAAGAAUUUUUACUAAUUUCUUAACAAAAUCCAAAAUCUCAUUUCAAUGGGUUUUUUUCAAUUUCCUCUACGAGAUCCUUUUUUCUUUCAAUUUUCCAUUUGAUUUUUUUUUUUUUUUUUUACUUUUGUUACAAAAUCCAAAAACCAAAAACUAAGGCCAUGAAUGUUUGUAAUUUUAAAAAUGGUUUUUGGAUUUUGGUUUUUGGUUUUUAGUUUUUGAUUUUCUUGGUUUUUGUUUUUGGUGUAGAUUUUAGUUUCUUAAAAACUUGAAUGGUAGUUUGUUUAGAUUUUGGUUUUUAUGUUAAUGGAUAAUAUUUUUGUAACAAAAAAAUCUAAAAAUAAAAUAAAAGAAUGUAAUGGAUGGUUUUAUGAUUUUGGUUUUCUUUGAAAAAUUGUUAAAACACUCAAACACUAGAUUCUCUAUUUUUUAGAAAAACUUAUUUUUUUCAAAAUCUUGAAUGGAUAUAAAAUAGAUUUUGAAAAAAACUAAACCAAAAUCUAGUUUAAAAACCACACCCAUUCAAGGUCUUAAAACUAAAAUAUUUAUGUAUUAGUUUUAAAUUACAAAGAUAAUAAAAUUGAGGACAGUUGAAAAAGAAGAAAAAAAAGUUUGUAUGUAUUUGGAAGUUAUUUUUCUCAAGUAGAAUACUGUGAAAGACGAUUCAACAUCCCUUAUUUUACGGUUGUGUCAAGGAACAUUCGAGAACUUUUUUUAAUAACUCCUUAAGGGACAAGUUCUCUCUGUUUUUCUUUUUUCAAUAGCUUCUCUGACACUUUAUUCUUUCUUUCUGAUAUUAUAAACCUCCGAUUUGGUUUAGUUCAAAACUAGAAGCAGCAAAAUUCUGAACACGUAAAGCUUUGUUUCACUCAGUGUUUCCCGAUCAGAUCCAAUGGAGAGAGGUGGUUAUCGAGGAGGUCGUGGUGAUGGCCGUGGUAGAGGUGGCCGUGGUUAUGGCGGAGGCGGAGGAGGAGGAGAACAAGGUCGUGAUCGUGGCUACGGCGGCGGAGAACAAGGUCGUGGUCGUGGCUCAGAGCGAGGCGGCGGAAAUCGUGGUCAAGGUCGUGGUGAACAACAGGAUUUUCGAAGCCAGAGUCAGCGGGGACCUCCGCCAGGUCACGGUGGCCGUGGGACGACGCAGUUCCAACAGCCUCGACCACAGGUGGCUCCGCAGCCGUCGCAGGCUCCGGCGAGUUAUGCCGGUUCAGUAGGAGGAGUCGCUGGUAGAGGCGCGUGGGGUCGUAAGCCACAGGUUCCGUCUGAUUCGGCUUCUCCGUCCACCAGCACCACCGUGGUUUCUGAACCCGUUCGUGGUAUAUAUGCUCAAUUUUAAUUUUGUUCGAGAACUCUUUGGGAAAUGAAAUUAGGGCAAAUUCAUAGAAGCUUAUAAUAAAUGAUUAGAACUUAAAUUAUGAAAUCAUUAGAGAGAUUUAUGUUAGUUAAUCAAUAGCUUUUGAUGAAUGUUUUAUGUGAUUAUUGUUUAGCUCAAAGUUGUAAUUAUAUUUUUGAAAUGUGACAGUAGCUGAAGUUAUGAAUCUGAAGCCAUCGGUGCAAGUUGCGACUUCUGAUAGGAAAGAACCAAUGAAGCGACCUGAUAGAGGCGGAGUUGUGGCUGUGCGGCGUGUUAAUCUAUAUGUGAAUCAUUAUAAAGUGAAUUUCAAUCCUGAAAGUGUUAUAAGACAUUAUGAUGUUGAAAUCAAAGGAGAAAUUCCUACCAAGAAGGUUUCGAGGUUUGAGCUAGCUAUGGUUAGGGACAAGGUGUUCACUGACAAUCCCGAUGAGUUUCCCUUAGCUAUGACAGCUUAUGAUGGUCAGAAGAACAUUUUCAGUGCGGUUGAGUUACCUACGGGGUCAUACAAGGUGGAGUAUCCUAAAACUGAAGAGAUGAGAGGUCGAAGCUAUACGUUCACUAUCAAACAGGUGAAUGUGCUGAAGCUAGGUGACUUGAAAGAGUACAUGACAGGGAGAUCGUCUUUCAAUCCGCGUGAUGUGUUGCAAGGAAUGGAUGUUGUGAUGAAGGAGCAUCCUUCCAAGUGUAUGAUCACUGUUGGUAAAAGCUUUUUCACUCGUGAAACUGAGCCAGAUGAAGAUUUUCGUUUCGGGGUUAUAGCUGCGAAAGGGUAUCGCCACACUCUGAAGCCCACAGCACAAGGUUUGUCUUUGUGUUUGGAUUACUCGGUGUUGGCGUUCCGCAAAGCAAUGUCGGUCAUUGAAUACCUGAAGUUGUACUUUAACUGGUCUGAUAUGCGUCAGUUUAGGAGGCGUGAUGUGGAAGAGGAAUUGAUUGGUUUGAAAGUCACUGUCAAUCAUCGGAAGAACAAGCAGAAACUCACCAUUGUAGGGCUGAGUAUGCAAAACACAAAAGACAUCAAAUUUGAUCUUAUUGAUCAAGAGGGAAACGAGCCGCCAAGGAAGACGUCCAUUGUUGAGUAUUUCAGGAUAAAGUAUGGAAGACACAUUGUUCACAAGGAUAUACCUUGCUUGGAUUUGGGAAAAAACGGUAGGCAAAAUUUUGUGCCCAUGGAAUUCUGUGACUUGGUUGAGGGACAGAUAUAUCCAAAGGAUAACUUGGAUAAAGAUUCAGCUUUGUGGCUAAAAAAGUUGUCACUGGUCAAUCCACAACAAAGGCAGAGGAAUAUAGAUAAGAUGAUAAAGGCUCGUAAUGGACCGAGCGGGUAUGUGUACAAAGAACUUCACUUUUAUUGUCUAUCUUUUUAAAAUUUUGUCAGUCUUAUAUUUUUGUAUGUGUGUUUAUGACAGUGGUGAAAUCAUUGGAAACUUUGGAUUGAAAGUGGAUACAAACAUGACACCGGUGGAAGGUCGUGUACUCAAGGCUCCAUCAUUGAAGUUGGCAGAGAGAGGGAGAGUUGUGCGUGAGGAACCCAACCCGAGACAGAACAACCAAUGGAACCUUAUGAAGAAGGGAGUCACAAGGGGAUCUAUAGUCAAGCAUUGGGCUGUACUUGACUUCACUGCAUCCGAGAGAUUUAACAAGAUGCCUAAUGACUUUGUGGAUAACCUUAUUGAUCGUUGUUGGAGACUUGGGAUGCAGAUGGAGGCUCCUAUCGUUUACAAAACAUCGAGAAUGGAAACACUUUCUAAUGGUAAUGCUAUUGAGGAAUUGCUUCGAUCCGUGAUAGAUGAAGCUUCUCGUAAGCAUGGUGGGGCUCGUCCAACUCUUGUUCUGUGUGCUAUGUCUCGGAAAGACGAUGGCUAUAAGACUCUGAAAUGGAUAGCCGAGACCAAACUUGGUCUGGUGACUCAGUGUUUCUUGACUGGUCCUGCCACUAAAGGAGGUGAUCAGUACCGGGCAAAUCUUGCCCUCAAGAUGAACGCAAAGGUUGGUGGAAGCAAUGUCGAGCUUAUGGAUACUUUCUCUUUCUUCAAAAAAGAGGAUGAGGUCAUGUUCAUUGGUGCUGAUGUCAAUCAUCCCGCUGCUCGGGACAAGAUGAGCCCGUCCAUUGUUGCUGUUGUGGGAACUCUUAACUGGCCUGAAGCAAAUCGCUAUGCAGCUAGAGUCAUUGCCCAGCCUCACCGCAAAGAGGAAAUACAAGGAUUUGGCGACGCUUGUUUGGAGCUUGUCAAAGCUCAUGUUCAGGCCACAGGGAAACGGCCUAACAAGAUUGUGAUAUUCCGUGAUGGUGUCAGCGAUGCUCAGUUCGAUAUGGUUCUCAAUGUGGAGUUGCUUGAUGUUAAGCUAACUUUUGAGAAGAAUGGUUACAAUCCAAAGAUAACGGUAAUCGUAGCCCAGAAACGUCAUCAAACCCGUUUCUUCCCAGCCACAAAUAAUGAUGGAAGUGAUAAGGGCAAUGUGCCUUCAGGUACGGUUGUUGAUACUAAAGUUAUUCACCCGUAUGAGUAUGAUUUCUACCUCUGCAGUCACCACGGAGGGAUAGGGACAAGCAAACCGACUCAUUACUACACUCUUUGGGACGAACUUGGAUUCACUUCGGAUCAGGUGCAGAAGCUCAUCUUCGAGAUGUGCUUCACUUUCACUCGCUGCACCAAACCCGUCUCUCUUGUUCCGCCGGUGUAUUAUGCUGACAUGGUUGCUUUUAGAGGAAGGAUGUACCACGAGGCAAGCUCUCGUGAGAAGAACUUUAAGCAGCCGCGGGGAGCGUCAACCUCUGCUGCUUCGCUUGCCUCUUCAUUAUCUUCUCUUACAAUUGAGGACAAAGCGAUUUUCAAGCUGCAUGCAGAGCUUGAGAAUGUUAUGUUCUUCGUCUGAAGAAGAGAGUGAGUUUCUUUUGUGUUUUGGGUCUCAAGCUGAACUUAAACCUAUAUUCGAAAUCGGAACGCCCCAAUAACGCAGUUUUAACUCCUUUUUUCUGGUAGAAAGGAGUUUGUGCGUGAAUCUAAUUGGGUUUUUCGUAGUGUGUUUCUUUCUUUUUGGUUUUGGUGUGUUGAAACGAAUUUGUAAUCUCUUUUGAGCAAAAACUACGUCUUCUUCUUUUUUUGGUAUUAUUGUAUUUCAGACUCUGCAUUCAGUAAUUAUUUCAUAUUUUGCUAAUUUUGUUUCUGAGUUUUGUUAAAAUGCUUUAGAUCUCGGAGAUUAGAAUUACAUGUUCAGUGUGUGUCUGAAAUUUAGUAAGUGCAUUAACCAUGAUCAUGUUCGGUCGCUACUGAAGUAUGAUAAGCUCUGUAUCAUUCAAUUACUUCAUCAUUCCUUCCACUUUUGCCCCUUGUGGACUACCACAGAUGUUACAAGACAAAACAUAAUCUGUAAAUUGCUAAUCUCUGAACCUAAGACUUGAUAUGAAACAUUUAUUUUUAUUCCCAAUCGUUUUAUAAAGAUUCUGUUGCUUGCACAAUCUCAUUCACCACACUACUCAUGUACUCCCAGGUUAAUCAAUCAAGUUUAUUUGUGUCCGAAAAAAUGGAAAAAUAUGAGAAAUUCCCAUCCAAUUUUAAGGAUUGUUUGAAUGAUCAAAGUAUGGUUGUUUUAGAGAAAUGACCUUAAACACCCAAUUUUACGUUGUUCUCGUCCAAAACUAGCGGAAAAUUUAUAAAUUUUUCAAAUACCACAAGAUAGUAAGAGUUUGUAAGUUAUGGUAAGUUCAGAAGAAAAGAAAAAUACAUAAAUGAUAGUUUUUUGAGAAUUGAAUGCAUAUUUCGUCUUAGAGUCAAUUAGUUACAAUUAACAUGAUUAAUUAAUAGUUAUUUUGUUGUUUUGUUAUUUGUUGUUUGUAUGAAAUGGUGUUGUUAUAUAUACAUUGGAUACUCUUAUAGAAGUUGAAGCUGCAAUUUCUUCGUUGCAUGACUUCAACAUUUGAUACUCGUUAGUCAAAAUCUUUUUCGUUACAUCAGACUCGAUCAGGCCACAUAAUCAUAUUUAGAACUAAAUUACAAUCAAUUACGUAUUGUUCCAAACUUCCAAAAGAUAAUUGACCACAAACACUCAUUUCCAACAGAACAUGACUAUUACUGACUGACUCACAAGCAUACACUAAUAACUAUAUCCAUUUCUCAACAUAUAUCUUUACAUCCAUUUCUCAACAUAAAGGAUUGAACAAAUAACUUAAUUUUUCAUCAAAAUUAACAAUAACCCUAUCCCUAUGAAUUCUCAACAAAAAAAAGUUUAAAACAACACUAGCUACGAGCUCUCAAAAUGUUUGGUCGUGUGUUCGAGAACAUUUAUAUAAUUAAGUUUUUUCUCAACUUAUAUAAUUCCAUUUAGUGAAAAAUCUAUAGAUAUAUUUAUAUAAUUAAGUUUUUUCUCAACUUAUAUAAUUCCAUUUAGUGAAAAAUCUAUAGAUAUAUUUAAAAAGUUUACUAUUUCUUUUUGGCGGUUUAGAGAGCAAUUGUUUUUUUUAAUAAUUGAGUUAGUAUGUUUGAGUGGUCGAACUACGUAUUCACUAAUUAAAGACAUUUUAAUCUUGACAUAGUCAUACCAUUUUACAUAAGUAUGGCUAAAUCAAAAUUAAAAUGAUCUUAAUUAGCGCAGUGCCUAACUAAAGUUAUUUUAAUUUUGACAUAGUAAAAGUCUAGUUUAUACAAUCGCCUUUAUAGUGUAUAAUGUAUUAAAUAAUUCUAAUCAAGCAAGUGUUUUACGCAACUGAUGCUUUUGUUGAAAUACAUUAUUAGAAUUUAGAUUAAUAUAUAAACCGAUGUGAACGUUAUGAAUUUAAAACGGUGUUGGCUAGUGAAUGUUGUGAAAUAAAUAUCAGUAAAUUAUGCACAAGUCACAUAACUUUCAGAGAUUGUGCUACACUGCUACGCCUAUCAUUCAGCAACAUGAUUUUUUAUCUGUCUAGUUAUCUCAUGUUAUAGCGGUUUAGUCGAAUAAUAUAUGAUUAAUCAAAAUUUUACACACAAAAUAUACGUUCGUUAAUUGUAUCACAUCAUCAAUAAUAAAACAAAAGAUCUUUUGACUCGAGCUAAGUAAACCACGUUACAUACGUAAUUGAUUCUCCAAUCUUCUUUAUUACCUUUUUCAAAAAGUAUGCGUAUGAGCGAACCGAUGAGUAAGUAAAAGUGAUCGUUGAUCUGUUGGAGAUGAGAGUUUGUGUAAUUGACUUCAUCAAUCUCUUAACUAAAAAUAGCAAUGCGUGAGGGAAAUGUUUUUCAAAAGAUGAAAAGACACAUAAAAACCAAUGGAAAAUACAACAUCAAAAGAUUCUUUACAUAAAAUGGUAAAAAGAAAAAUUUACAAUCAAAGUUUUCUUUUUAGAAAACUGGAAACCCACGCUAAUGCGUAUACAAUACUCAUCAGUAUAUGAUAUAUCAAAUAUAUAGCCACAUAUAAUAAGUCCAUUAUUAAAAAGUACCGUUAUUAUCAUGACCAAAAUUUAAAGACAAUACACACGUACAACUAAUAUUAUUUAUUAAGAACAUAACAAGUAUUAUUAUUAUUAGAAGUAGAAAUUUUUUUCCAAAAGAGGAAAACGAAAACUUUAACUUUAUUUACUUACCUAAAAACCUUAAUUUUUGACACCUCUAGUGGGUUAUUAUAAUGUCGUUUUCGAUCGAAAGUGAAACAGAGAGACAGUGGACGCAAGAAAAAAACCGUGGGUGGAUGAAAGAAAGUAAACAUGAGAUUUUUGUUUUUCUUUGUUAAUGGUUUCCUUAAAUAAAUUACAAACAUAAUUAUAAUUAAGAAGAGAGUUUCAAAUAAAAUAAAAUGAAAUGCCACGUCUUACAGUUGCAUCUGACUCUGUUUUAUGUUAAUUGUGACACAAGUUUAAUACAGUUGUACUUUCUUACUUUUUGGUGGUUUCGUGGAAGAUUACGACAACUUUACAAACUCUACGACUUAAGCUUCUCUGUUCCUACACCUUUUGUUCUUCUAUUUAAAGCCCUCUGAUUUGUUACUUCACAUUCACAAGUUUUGAAAGCAAACACAUAAAGAAAAUUCUAGUUCAAUCUUUUGUCACUCAAGAGUCUUCCCGACCGUAUCCAGUCAAAUACCAUGGAUCGAGGUGGUUACCGAGGAGGUCGUGGUGAUGGCCGUGGCAGAGGCGGCGGCGGAGAUCGUGGUCGUGGUUACAGCGGUCGUGGUGAUGGCCGUGGCAGAGGCGGCGACGGAGAUCGUGGUUACAGCGGUCGUGGUGAUGGCCAUGGCAGAGGCGGCGGCGGAGAUCGUGGUCGUGGUUACAGCGGUCGUGGUGAUGGCCGUGGCAGAGGCGGCGGCGGAGAUCGUGGUCGUGGUUACAGCGGUCGUGGUGAUGGCCAUGGCAGAGGCGGCGGCGGAGAUCGUGGUCGUGGUUACAGCGGUCGUGGUCGUGGCUUUGUUCAAGAUAGGGAUGGUGGUUGGGUAAAUCCAGGGCAAAGUUCAGGUGGUCAUGUUCGUGGUCGUGGGACGCAGUUGCAACAACCUCCGCCACAGGAAGUUCCUCCGUCGUCGUCGCAAGCUCAAGUGAGUCAAGGCGUUGCACCAGGAGACGUGGGUCAAGGCGGCGUCGGAGACGUGGGUAGAGACGGCGUCGGAGACGUGGGUAGAGACGGCGUCGGAGACGUGGGUCAAGGUGGCGUCGGAGACGUGGGUCAAGUAGGCGUCGGAGACGUGGGUCAAGGCGGCGUCGGAGACGUGGGUCAAGGCGGCGUCGGAGACGUGGGUAGAGACGGCGUCGGAGACGUGGGUAGAGACGGCGUCGGAGACGUGGGUAGAGGCGGCGUCGGAGACCGUGGACAGAGUCAGUCGGGACUAUCGUCGGGUCACUUUGGUCGUGGGACGCAGUUGCAACAACCUCAGCCACAGGCGGUUUCUCAGUCGUCUUCGCAGGGUCAAGUGAGUCAAUCCUUUGCAACAGGAGGCGUGGGUUUAGGCGCGUGGGCUCGUAAGCCUCAACUUUUCUCUGAUUCGACGGUCUUACCUUCUAGUUCUUCGUCUAACGUCGUUGCUUCUCACACCGCUAGUGGUAAGCACCAUAACUCUAGAUUUUUCUUUGCCAUAUCUUUAAGCAUUUGCUAUUUUUCUAACGUUCAAGUAACUAAACAAUGAGUUUGUUUUAAGGUGAUUAAUACAGAAUGAGUUUGAGAAAAACUUAUGUUCUACAUUACUACCUUGGAGAAUUAAAAUUACCCAAAAUUGCUUAAAUCAAUAAUUUUAGAAUUGCUUACAAGAAAUAAUUUUAGAACUUAACUAAUUCUGAAUAUUAUAAGAAUAUUAAACAUAAACAAAGAUAUAUUAUAUGAAUACCUUUUUUGGUUUAAUGAAUAUUUAUGUGUUUUUGAGCUACAGAGAUUAACAAAUAAGUUAUUUGUAUGUUAAUUUCACAGGUUCUCAAGUUAUGACUCCGAAACCAUCUUCUUCUGAUAAGAAAGAACCAGUAAAGCGUCCUGAUAAAGGUGGUAAUAUAAAAGUGAAAGGCGUAAUUAAUCUCUCCGUCAAUCAUUUUAGAGUGAGUUUCUCAACAGAAAGUGUCAUAAGGCACUACGAUGUUGAUAUCAAAGGAGAAAAUUCUUCAAAAAAGAUAUCAAGAUUUGAGCUAGCUAUGGUCAAAGAAAAGCUGUUCAAGGACAAUAAUGACUUUCCUAACGCCAUGACAGCGUACGAUGGUCAGAAGAACAUUUUCAGCGCUGUUGAAUUACCUACGGGAUCAUUUAAAGUUGAUUUCUCAGAAACCGAGGAGAUCAUGAGAGGUAGAAGCUAUACGUUCAUCAUCAAACAAGUGAAAGAGCUAAAGUUACUUGACUUGCAAGCCUACAUAGAUGGACGUUCCACUUUUAUUCCGCGUGAUGUGUUGCAAGGAAUGGAUGUUGUGAUGAAGGAACAUCCUUCAAAACGUAUGAUCACUGUUGGUAAAAGAUUCUUUAGUACUCGGCUAGAGAUUGACUUUGGAUACGGAGUUGGAGCUGCGAAAGGGUUUCACCACACUCUCAAGCCCACAGUACAAGGUUUAUCAUUAUGUUUGAACUCCUCUUUGUUGGCGUUCCGCAAAGCAAUUUCAGUCAUCGAAUACCUGAAGUUGUACUUUGGGUGGAGAAAUAUACGUCAGUUUAAGAAUUGUAGGCCUGAUGACGUGGUACAAGAAUUGAUUGGUUUGAAAGUCACUGUUGAUCAUCGAAAGACCAAACAGAAAUUCAUCAUUAUGGGGUUGAGUAAGGACGACACAAAAGAUAUCAAAUUCGAUUUUAUUGAUCAUGCUGGAAACCAGCCUCCAAGGAAAAUAUCCAUUGUUGAGUAUUUCAAGGAAAAGUAUGGAAGAGACAUUGAUCACAAGGAUAUUCCUUGCUUGAAUUUGGGGAAAAAGGGUCGGGAAAAUUUUGUACCCAUGGAGUUCUGUAACUUAGUCGAGGGGCAGAUUUUUCCAAAAGAGAAAUUGUAUAGAGAUUCAGCCGCGUGGUUAAAGGAGCUUUCACUAGUCACUCCACAACAAAGACUGGAGAAUAUAAAUAAGAUGAUAAAGUCUAGUGAUGGACCUAGAGGGUAUGUGGACAAAAGAUUUUUAUAUUUAUUUUUUAGUCUUAUGACCUUAAUCUUAUCCUUUUAUGUAUAUUUAUGACAGUGGAGAUAUCAUUGGAAACUUCGGAUUGAGAGUGGAUCCAAACAUGACAACGGUGGAAGGUCGUGUACUCGAGGCUCCUACACUGAAAUUGACUGAUCGGAGAGGCAAUCCUAUCCAUGAGAAACUCAUGAGCGAGAGCAAUCAAUGGAACCUUACGACAAAGGGAGUCACAAAGGGUUCAAUAAUCAAGCAUUGGGCUGUUCUUGACUUCACUGCAUCCGAGAGUUUGAAAAAAAAGAUGCCUGGUUACUUUGUAAAUAAACUCAUCGAACGUUGUAAGGGACUUGGGAUGCAGAUGGAGGCUCCUAUCGUUUGCAAAACAUCGAGUAUGGAAACACUUUAUGAUGGUAAUGCUCUUGAGGAAUUGCUUCGAUCCGUGAUAGAUGAGGCUUCUCAUAACCAUGGUGGGGCUUGUCCAACUCUUGUUCUGUGUGCUAUGACUGGGAAGCACGAUGGAUACAAGACUCUGAAAUGGAUAGCCGAGACCAAACUUGGUCUAGUGACUCAGUGUUUCUUGACCAUAUCUGCCAUUAAAGGAGAAACCGUUUCUGAUCAGUACUUGGCAAAUCUCGCCCUCAAGAUAAACGCAAAGGUUGGUGGAACGAACGUGGAGUUGGUGGAUAAUAUUUUCUCUUUCUUCAAAAAAGAAGAUAAGGUCAUGUUCAUUGGUGCUGAUGUCAAUCAUCCCGCUGCUCACGACAAUAUGAGUCCAUCCAUUGUUGCUGUUGUAGGCACUCUUAACUGGCCUGAAGCUAACCGCUACGCAGCUAGAGUCAAAGCUCAGAGUCACCGUAAAGAAGAGAUACAAGGGUUUGGUGAAACUUGCUGGGAGCUUAUCGAAGCUCAUUCUCAGGCCCCCGAGAAACGACCUAACAAGAUUGUGAUAUUCCGUGAUGGUGUCAGCGAUGGUCAGUUCGAUAUGGUUCUCAAUGUGGAGUUACAGAAUGUUAAGGACGUUUUUGCCAAGGUUGGCUAUAAUCCGCAGAUAACUGUAAUUGUGGCACAGAAACGUCAUCAAACCCGUUUCUUCCCCGCCACAACUAGCAAAGAUGGAAGGGCUAAGGGCAAUGUGCCUUCAGGUACGGUCGUUGAUACCACGAUCAUUCACCCGUUUGAGUAUGAUUUCUACCUCUGUAGUCAACAUGGAGCGAUAGGUACAAGCAAACCAACUCAUUAUUAUGUUCUUUCGGACGAAAUCGGGUUCAACUCGAAUCAGAUUCAGAAACUCAUCUUUGACUUGUGCUUCACGUUUACUCGCUGCACCAAACCGGUCGCUCUGGUUCCUCCGGUUUCUUAUGCUGACAAGGCUGCUUCUAGAGGAAGGGUGUACUACGAGGCAAGCUUAAUGAAGAAGAAUUCUAAGCAGUCGCGUGGAGCGUCUUCGUCUUCUGCCUCGGUUGCCUCUUCAUCCUCUUCUGUCACAAUGGAGGACAAAGAGAUCUUCAAGGUUCACGCAGGCAUCGAGAACUUUAUGUUCUUUGUCUGAAAAAAAGUUUGAUCUUAAAAUAUUUAUCUAAAUAAGAACGUCUCAUUAACGCAGUUCUUACUCCUUUUUCUGAUUAGAAAGGAUGUUUGUGCGUGAAUCUAAUCGUUAGAUAUGCAGUUUGUUUGUUUCCUUUUCGUUGUUGGUGUGUUGAAAAUAGUUUGUAUUUGGUAUUGUAAUGCUCUUUAGAGCUGAAACUAUGUCAUGUUAUGGUAUUUUAUUAUAGUUUUCAGACUUUGGAUUCAAUAAAUAGUUCAUAUUUUGCUACUUCUCUGUUUUGUGAAGGGCUUGAGAACUCAGACAUGAGUACUCUAGUUUUGGGUUUACAUGUUCUGCCUUGUGUCUGAAAUUCCUUUUUUCUAAACCAUCUAUUCAUGUGGAACAUUAUCUAUAAGGUUAUUUUGUGUAAUGAUCAAUUGAUCAUGCAUCUCUACUUUUUUUUUUUUUUUUUUUCUUUUUUUUUUUGUCGUCGAUCAUGCAUCUCUACUACAUAUGCAUUCCAACAAAAAAAACAUAAUGGUGCUCUUGUUUUCGAUAUAAUAUCAGUUAUGGGCUCUCUGUUUUUAUUUUAUUUUAUUGGACCUUACUGAUAUUUCUUGGGUUCAUGAACCAUAGCUAUACCAAAUCAUUAAGGUGGAUUUUGCACGAUUUCUCAAUGUUUAAUUUCAUGUAUUAUAUACUCAUUGAUUGGUUGUUUGCAGAAUCUUAUUUACUACAUUGACUCUCAAGAGUCCCCUCCUAUAUUUCAUCAAAUCUAUCUUUUCAUUUUAUAAUUUUUAUGUAAUGAUAGAUUCCUCAUAAAUGUUUCUUGAAAACUAUAAAAAGGUAACUAACAUUUUUUUCCUAUAUAUAUAUAUGUGUGAUAUAUAUCCCAUAUAAAAAGUAGCAACAAGAAAAUGAUUUUAGAGAAGUGAUACCAAACCAAAUGAAAAAGACAUGAUAGUCGAAGUGAUUCACACGAAUCGAACUAUAAUAAUCUAUACUCUAUCUUAUUCACAUUUUAUCAUCUUUUUGUGUUUCAUGUUAUUUUCUUAUGUAUAUAUUCAUUUUUCGUAUAUUCUUUUGUUUUUAUCAAAAUAAAUUCAUUUUUCUUUUUACCCCACUCAUUAACAUAAGUUAGCCAUAUAUUAUUAUAAGAUUUUUUUCUUGCCAAAUAAAUGUAAGAGUUUCUUUUUCCCACAACUCAUUAACAAAGUUUGGCAUAUGUAAAAAAAAGAAUGAAUUUUAAACCUAAUACUAGCCUUUAAAAUUCAACAAUUAUUUUAUUUUUAUUUUCUUAUUUUCGUGCAACAGCUGGAGUGUUUUUUUUUUUUUUUUUUGUGUUCCCAGAGAUCGAGUGUUUUGUGUUUCUUCUCUCUAUCGUUCACAUUUGAUUAAAGCUAAAGCUUUCUUCUUCUUCAAUUGAUGCUACUUCUGAUUUACCCUUUCUCUGCUUUUUUCUCUCACUCUCUCAGUUUUCUCCUCCUUGAUUCCUAAAGUCUUCUCCUUUGCGUGCAUUUCUUCAAUUUUCAGAUUCUUCCUAAGGUACCCUUCUCAAAAUUCUUCCUUGUUUUGCGAUUCUUCAUCGGUUCAAUGGAUCCUCUUUGACUUCGAUUUUGAAUCCGAGCUUCGUUAUCCCUCGAUUGCUAAUUUCACUCUUUUGUUUAGGAUUCUUUCCCCAAUCUAGGUAUUGCUUUGCUUCUCUGUAUCUAUCGAAUCUGCAUUUUGUUAGUUUCGAAAAUUUUGAAAUUAGGGUUCAUUUGUGAUUUGUUCAUACAUCUUUGUUAGAUUGCAGAAUCUGUUCAUCAUUUUUCGAAUUCACAUAACUCAGAUUAGUUUGAAUCUAUUGAGAUUGAGAAAUUUCUUAAAAACUCUGGAUUUGUGUGGAUUAAGAUUAGUGUUUUGAGAUUGAUCUCUUUGUCAAUAUGGUUUUUUUUGGUGUAGGUGGUAGAAUGAUGAAAUGAGAAUCGAUAGAUAAGAGUUUAAAGAGCACCAGAAUCUUUGUUAUCUUGCAAUGUCGACGACGUCUUUGCAAACGAUUGGUGCUAUUAAGUCUUAUCAUCAUCAAGCUCAGCAUUUGGUUAAGAAUUAUCUCUUAGCUGAUCCUUUUAUUCCUUACACUUCUGUCCUCACCGGCAUUUUCCUUUGCAAAGUGGUAAGUUUGGAUUUUUGUUUGUUACUUUCAUGAUUCUGUAGAUCUAGGGACGAUUGAUUAAUGAUGGUUACGUUUCUUGUUUUGUUUGCAGGUUUAUGAUCUUUGUCAUUUUAUCAGCAACUCACAUUCUAAGACUUAUAUCAUCCUCACGAAAAUUCAAAGAAUCGAAUGGAAUAACCGGUUUGUGUUUGAUGAUUGUUAACUCUUUUUCAUGUUGUGUGUGUGUGUGUGUCUAUUUAGGUUUUUGAAUCGUUUUGUAUUGUUUGGCAGUGGUAUCUCGACAGUUCAUGCUAUUUUUAUUUCGGCUAUGUCGCUGUACUUUGUGUUCUGGUCCGACCUCUUUUCCGAUAGGUGGCAUAAUGAUCUUGUUGUUUUCCGGAGCUCACGACUUUCUUCUCUUGGUUUAGGGGUAAGCACUCAUUUUAGUGGAUCCAAAAACGUUAAUGUAAAAGUCUAUGAGAGAAGAAUUUCAACAUUAUUACAUUAAUGAUUUGCAGAUAUCUAUUGGUUACUUCCUUGCUGAUCUUGGGAUGAUCUUCUGGAAAUAUCCUUCUUUGGGUGGAAUUGAGUAUGUAAGUACUUGUUCUUGUCCAAACACUUUACUCUAUCUAGUGAUUUCUCUCCAAAGAUAUUCAAAAUCCUCCUUAUAUUCUGCUUGUUGAUGUUUCAAGGCUUAUAUACUUGCCUUGCUACAUUGCUCAACAUUACUAAUGUGUAAAGAUAGCUAACGCCAGUCGCCAAAAGCCCAAAACUAAGAUCAAGUUGACAUUUUGAUUUCAGAUUGUGCAUCACUCGCUAUCGGGGGUUGCAGUUGCCUACUCUUUAUUUUCCGGGGAAGGACAGUUAUAUACCUACAUGGUCCUCAUCUCCGAGAUUACAACCCCAGAGAUCAACUUGAGAUGGUACUUCCUCUUUUCUUCGUUAUACCAUAUACAAAACUUAUCACGUUCGCAACCUUUCUCCUGACAAAAAAGUGGAUUGUCUCGGUGGUCUUAUGAAGGUACCUGGACACGGCUGGUAUGAAAAAAUCAUUGGCAUACGUUGUUAAUGGCGUUUUCAUCUUCUUGGCUUGGCUGGUACUUACAAAUCCUAAUCAACAUUCGACUCAUUUUGAUACUAGGCAUUUAUGUGUCUACUUAUCACUCAAACACUUUCAUGUCAGGUUGCUAGAAUUCUACUGUUCAUAUACAUGUUUUAUCAUGUUUAUCUCCACUACAACCAGGUAAAGCUCACUAUCUAGCGGUUUUAUUGAUUAUGCUGAUACCCAAUUGCUUCAAAACCUUCCCCAUGAAAUUAAUACAUCACUAUGGUUUCAUUUCCGGAUUUUUUUUUAUGGUGUGAUUGAAAUGGAAUUACUUUGUUUUGUGGGUAGGUCAUGAGGAUGCACAUCUUUGGUUACGUUCUGGUAUUCGGCGUACCAGCUGCGCUCGGUGUCAUGAACUUGAUAUGGUUCGGGAAGAUUGUGAGAGGGGUAAAGAAAACAUUAGCAAAGAGAUGUGAAUGUUGAGAUUGGUGAGUCUUCCUCACACCGUUUCUUCACUUCAUCAUCUCCUUACUUCUUCGUCCCUCUGACAUAUGCCUGUCUCUCUAGUGUAAGUAGUUUUUGUCUGAUGAAGAAAGAAAAACGAAAAAACAAAAAUGAUAAUGAUACGAUCCUCUGACUCUGUAAAUGAUCAAAAUUCAAGUCUCUUCUUUACGUUUUCUCAUUAUACAAUGUAAUUCUGUUUUCAUUCUAAUAGUUUUGGUUCUAGGGUUUUGAUUCAAUUUCUGCUACAUUUCGUUUAACCGGAGUUCGAUACAGUACUACCAAAAUGAUGAACAACUGUUUGGUGUUCAAGUUCUAUGGAAGAGAAAACAUUUGGUCACCGGUUUACUAUUUUUUUGUUCAAUAUUCUCAGUAACAACAACAUAACUAUUGCACAUACAUCAACAUAGGGAUUGUAAUUAAAUAGUUAGAUAAAGAAUCAAAGUUUAGACAUUAUAACAGCUAGCAGAAAAUAACAUAGUGUAGAGUUUGGUGGAAUACAUGUAUUUAAACUCGGCUCGUGAAGGCCAUUAUAUGUCUAGCUGUUCGUGGUUAUCGUCGGCUUAUAGGCCCAUUCAGUGAACACAACUGCACAAUAUGUCACAUGAAUUGCGUAUUCGUAUGUCGACAUCAAUGAGUUAGGAUAAUGUACGGAUACAAACAAAGCUAUGUGGCUGAUUCUGUAUUUAGUCUUGUUUACUUUAAUUUCCAUUGUUUCUAUAAGAAAAAAAAAUAGUGUUUCUUUCUUUUCUUUUGUUAAAAAGAAUAGUGCUUCUUAUUAGAAAAAAAAAAAAAAUGUCAACACUAUUCAUUCUACCGGUUUUGAUCCGAAUAGUGAUAGAAUAAUGACAUUUUUACACAAAUUAUUAGAAGUUAAUCGGUGUAUAACCACAUAAAUAAACCAUAUAAUCUAAAGUUUUUUGUUUGUAUAUCAGUCACAGUAAAACAAUUUAUAAUCACACGAAUAGAUUUUUAUAGAUUGGAUUUCAGGUACAAUUUGGUGUGUCAUAAGUUAACAUAGCGCACCAGUCUCUAUCUAGAAAUGUUUUCUAUUUUCAUUUCAUUAUUAUUAUUGGUCAUUAUUUCAACACAGCUCACUUUCUCUGUAGAAAAGCUGCAUCUGUGAAGGGUGUGGGGGAAGAAAAAGAGAAGCACUUUUGGCCAUAGAGUACAAACACUAUACACAUUACAUACAUCACUUCUUUUUUCUUUCUAUAAACAUUUGUAUAUAUGAAAAACAUUAUAUUAUAUCAUAUUAUAUUUGCUUCCCCAAAUUGGCCCAUUGUGAUUUAUUGUUGUGACCCCUCAUGGGUUCCUUUUAUUUCCCCUUUUUCACUAACAAAUAAAAUAUUGAACUAUCGUGUUCAUAAGAUGGACCUUACGUGUGUUUAUAGGAUCUGCAUUGACUAUGUAUCUAUAUGAAGCAUGGUUAUUCAAGUUCCACUUAGUAUUUUAUUUGUUACAUAAGGUUUCCACUUUUCUUUAACUACAUUCUUAGUUGUUGAAAUCUAGUUAUAGGGAAAACUCGAAACUGAAAUAGGGCUUAAGUUGUUCUACAUAAACCCCACCAAGGUAGGAUUGUUAACUAAGCUAGGGUUAAAGUUAAAGUACGUUAAUAUGUUGCAGACCAUAUCUUUUUCUUUUAUAAAACGGUAUGCCGCAAACUUACUCACUUCACUAUUAACUACAUUAUUCUUAAAUUUCAACUAUACCAUCUUAAACUUUUGAUUAACAAUUAGAAAGUUUGUGUCACUAAGCUUUUGAUGCAUUGAAGAAAGAGAGAGAGAAGAAUGAGAAGGGAACCAAUAAUACUCAAUAGAAUGGCCUCCACACUCUUCCCCUUCCUUUGACUGCUCUCUCUGCCCCCUUUGACCACUUUCUCUCUCACUUAAAUGCUUCCCCCACGCACCUCUCUCUUGUGCGUUCACUCACGCUCCAAAUCCAAAAGUUUCACAACUUCUUUUUUUCUUUAAUUGCAUGAUUAUGUCCAUGAUUAGCUUUCGACUACGUCCUUCUAACACCAAUGCUAUAUUGAGUAAGUUGCAUUACAUUUACGUGUAUCCGUUCAAGUCUUUUCAUAAUCUCAAACCGUCUAAAUCAAGUAUCUCUCUAGCUAAUACGAUACUACAAUGUAGUUUGCGUUCAUAUGGUUAUGAAAACUCAAACAUAUUUAGAUAACAAGUAACAAAAGAUAUGGUUUUGACCUAAUUAAAAAAAGACUAAGCACCUUAAUUUGGUGUAGUUAAAUUCUAUAUAUAGGAACCUAAAAUAUUUUUAACCACAUAAAUAUUAUGAAUCCAUAUCUAGUCUAAACUUAUUAUGUUGAAACAUAUCGCAUUAGGUGAUAUGAAAUUGAUCCACAGUUUAACCAUGUAUAUUAAUCAACUUUAUAUGAUCACAUUUCAAUUUAUAUUGCAUGGAAUCAACAAUUUACUUAAGAAAACAUUGAGAGUGAUGAAAACAAGAUUAAUUAAGACUUCAAUAUCAAUUUAUGUACUCCGAUCAUCACGCUCAACAAUUUAAUCACUUCCCUAAUCAAAUUAACUACAUAAUAAUCAUUUAAAUUACUAUGGUACUGGACCUCCUUGAUGCUAAUUAUUAUGGCGAGAAGAAGAAGCCAGAGCGAAAAUGGAGCUAGCUAGCUUAUUAAUGGCUUCCACUAAUCCAUUCAUGCCUUCUCUAUUCAUCUCAACAUUAGAUUCUUCGAUCUUGAGUCUCCUCUCUUGUACGUUCAUCACUUCUUUAUGUCUCCGAUCUUGUCUCUCCUCACUCUCCCUAAUCGCGUUUGCGAUCACUGACACACUCCUUGAUAACGCAGCCGCUACUGUCGUCUCUUCAUCUCUCUUACUACGUCCAACCUCCUCCACAUCUACACCGCCGCCGCUGGGACCGGCGGUUGUGGUUGUCGGCAUUGUUCUCCUUCUCUUCGCCGGAGAUGUGUCUGAAUACUCACUUGUAUCAGAAUCUGUGCUACUAUCCUUCUUCAACCAAGUUAUCAAACAUAAUCCAAACCAAAUUACUAGUUAAUAUAAAAAAAUAUUAAAGAUAAUGUAAUGUAUAUAUUAUUUGUACUUCUUCACUGAAAAUAAUAAAGUGUUUAAUUAAGAGUUGUAUCAAACAAAAGUAUACAUAAGAGUGUGCAUUAAACUGUAUAUUAAAGAUUUUAUUUCUCAAGUGUAAUCAGACAUAAAUUACAAAUGUAUGUUUUUCUUUAAAUGUCAGAUUAUUUAACUCUCAAAUAAUAAAAACUAAACUUAGAAGUUAAGAAGAGAGAGAAAGAAGGUACCUACUGUGGGCAGUAUUGGCUGAGCAUGAAAAGAAGGCGGUGGAGGCGGUGGCAGUAGUAGUGGUCGUGGUAACGGCUGAGACGGUGGUGGUGGCGGCGGUGGCUGAAGUGGUAACAAAACAGGUUGCUGCUGAAUGAUUUGAUGUACUUUAGGAACAACAAAUCCUAAACCUUGUUGUAUCACUUUUUGGAUUUGUCCACCGCCUGAACCGUUUCCACUACUAAUAGCAGCAGCAGCAGCCGCAACUGCAGCGGUUACAGCGGUUACGGCGGUAGAAGAAGGAAGCGUUUUACUCUCAACAACUUCAAACAAAGCUUGGUAUGUUUGAGGUAACAUAUUACUUGGUAAGCUUCUCUCUUUCCUCUCACUCUUCUCCAUCUUCCAGUACGACGCCGUUUCUCCAGCUGGAGCUGAAGAUGAAGACGACUCACCGGCGGUAAUAGACGAUUCUACCCUUCGUCUCUCGUACUCUCUAACUUUUUUGUAGUCUCUCAUGAGAUUGUCCCAUUUGUCAUUGCACUGAUUCUGACUUCUCAUACAACCUUUUCUCCAACAGUAAUCUUCUAUCCACUUCCACCGUAGCUCCGCCGGUUUAUUACUCCGGAUAUCUUGUUGCUGCUCCGGCGGUGGAAGGCCGAUGGACCGCCGCAUCCUCCUCUCAUCAUCCAUCCUCUUGGCCUCAAUGAGAACCAUCGUCUCAUUCAACGUCCAGUUGCCUUUUCUGUACUCUCUCAUCAUAACCAACCCACCACUUUGGUCAGCCAUGUUUUCUUGAAAUCUUGAAAAAUCAAGAACUAGAGAGAGAGAGAGGCUUUUGGUAGGUGUUGGAGAAAGGGGAGAAGAAAGGGAUUGUCUUGAGGUGGGGAUAGGUGUAGUGUUAUGUGUGUUUAAGUUUUGGGGAUAGUUCUGAUUAUUAUUUUAUUUUGUGGGUGUGUGAUUGAGAAGACUGGUCAAAAUCUUUUUGUUGUAGUACUAAGAUUGUCACCAAGUGCAAUGAGAAAGGACAAGUAUUGCAAUAUUGGGAGCCAAGUGAAAAGAAAACUAUGUAAUGUGUAACCCAUUCAUUCAUUAAAUUUUGUUUGUUUGUUUUGGCAACAUUCAUUCAUUAGUUUAUUAAACUGACCAUUUUCUUUUCUUUCAUUUUCUUAUAAAAUGUUCAUUCAUUCAUGUCUCUCUUAAUUUCUUUGGGGACAGGAAAUCUUAGGUGAAUCUAGCAUUUCUAAUUAUGUAUACAAUUUCAAAUAGAUGGAGUUAAUGUUUCAAUGUUUCAUAAAAUCUACUUCCCCACUGUUUCUUAAAUAAUCACAAUGGUGAACAUUUGUGAUUUGUAGAUUUAUCAAAAACGAAGUAAAUGUGGUACGUAUAAAUUUAGAGACCAACAUUAUUGGUCACAAAUUUGUGACUAUUUAGCAACGUUAUUGUGACUAUAUUUAUGAAAAUCAGAUGAGAAAUUAGUAAAUGAAAAUCGAGAAGAACAUAUCUAUUGAUUUUUUUUCUUGUUGUUAGGUUUUUCAAUCACCAUUUGCUACAUAUUUAAAUACCAUAAGUUUUCUAUGUUAUGAAAGGUAGGCAGAGCUAGACGUGUAUAUAUACACGACAAAAUAUCAAGAAAACCACAAAUGAGAACAAUGCGAUUUCGAUAAAUUUUAUUAGUUUAGGACCACAAAUAGUUCAUAAGCGGUCUUAUUCAACAAGGCAAUUGCAUGAGUGAUGUAUCUGUUUUCAAACUUAUAAGAAAUUGGAAGAUUUUGGAGGCAUCCUAUGUAGAUCUCGUUUCCAUUUUAAUAAAACAAAUAAAGUGAUGUAUAUACUUUUUUCAAACUUCGAAAAGCUAUUGGCUUUGCAUGAUGAUUGCUUCUCAUACUUUCUUUUUAAAAAGGAUUUGAUUUACGAAUCUCUAAUUCAUGUGCACGAGCUAUAAGUAGAAGAGUAUAGUUACUUUUUUAAUUGUCUUUGCCUUGAACCUUAUUUAUGCGCAUGUAUGUUUGUAGAAUAUGUGAAUGCUUAGUUUCCUUAUUAAUAUAAUUGUAUGACAAUUGGACUCCUGUAUAGGGAUUUCUUAUUAGGUUUCUUACACAAAACAUGUUUAGAAAUAUAUACACACAUGAAACAUUCCUCGGACUGGAAAGUCUCAUAGCUAGAUCCAACAUAGAAUGAAUAUAACAUCAUGCAAAUUUUCAAAGGACAUCAAACAAAGUUGUACAUAACUACAUAUAUAUAUCCUUCAAAAUUUGAAAUUAAUUUUUAGUUAAAAAAAUUUCAUUUUAUAUAUCAUUUUUGGUAAUUAUAAGAUCUUAUAUCAAAUUUGAAUUUUUGUCAUAUCUGUAAUCAAUAUAUAAAUUUUUGUGAAAAGUAAAAAAGGUUUAAUGCAAAUCGAUUUUUCAUUUCAACUACAAUUUCUAGCACCAAACAAUUAUUUGUUGGUUAAAAUUUUAUAUUAUGUAAAUAUUUUAGAAAAUCUACUGCAAUGUGACCUUAAAGUUUAAACGCAUACAAAUAUUUUUUUUUCAUAAUUUCUCACAGUAAUUAGAUGUAUCAAUGCGUUGCAUGGUGCACUCAUAACUUCUUCUUUUUUCUUAAACAGUAUCAUUUGCUCUAAAGAACUUUCUCACUAAUCAAAAUAGAUAAAAUAAUAUAUGGAUACUAAUUUGCGUACACUACGUAAGUUGCAUUGCAUGGCGAGGGAUAUUAUUACAUCCCAUAUGAAAAACACAGACCGUUCAUCAUUGUCUGCACAAUAAUACGUAAACAAUCAAGUUCCCACGUUACAAGUCUACGAUACAGAGAUAUAAGUCUUUCAUGAAAGUCUAAAAACAAAUGAUUUCUUAGGAAAUGUAAUGUAUAAGAAAAUUACGACCAACUUUUUGAAAUAUAUAUAUUUAUAUCCAAAUUUUUUUUGGAUGAUUUAUACGCGAAAAUCAAAAUUGUAUUUUUUCAUCUACAUAUAUAUAUAUAUAUAUAUAUAUAUAUACAUUACUCCGAAGUCCGAACAAACAAACGUGUGUAUCAAAUAAGAUAAGUCGAUCAGUAAUUCCAGUGCCGGCUCUAGGGGAGUGCUAGAGGAGCAAAAGCACAGAGUCCUCAAUUAUUUUUUCAAAUUUUUUUUCAAUUUUCUUUAAGGUUUUAGGGUCCAAAAUUUUCAAAAAUUAAAAACCAAUAUUAACUAAAGUCAGUUUUUAUAAAUCAGCACAAGGUAUUCAAAAAGUUUGAGCCGGCCCUGAGUAAUUCCUAUCAGUUCUGUACUAAGAACAUUGAACUAAUACUAGUGGUAUUGCUCAUGUUGUCAUGGGAAGAGCCUUGUCUACAUGUAAUUUAUACAUCCGAAAAAAAUGUUUGAUUUCAAAUAACUUGUUGAUAUAUUGCAACUCUACUUUACAACAUCACAUAUGUUCGAAAUAAAAAAUUUUCAAAAAGCUUUCAAAUAUCUUUACUUUGUUUUUAUUAAAUUUUAAAUAAUUUAAGACGUCUUUCAUGAGAAUGUGUGUGUCUAUUCUAUACCUAUACCUACAUAUUUAUAAGUAUGAUUUGCUUCAAAGUCGAUGAUAUAUCAAUAAAAUAAAUAAAGAAAUAAAAUUAAACAAGUAAAGGAUCUAUCGAAAUUUGCAUGGAGGAGUGGAUUGAAUCAUAUGUAGUUCUGCAUGCAUGGAUCGUGUAUGCUUUUCGUAAAGAUCAUAUCUCUUAGACCUUCAAAGUUUAUUUGCUUUAAAUAAAUAAAUCAAAUCUAGUAUCAAAAGCAUACAUGAAUCAAUAACAAGACCGACGUUACAUACAACCUUAACAAUCAUUAAAAUGCUAUGUCUCUAUUUCUCUCUCUCGUCUUAUUUAUGUUUGUUUGAUGGUUGACAUGCAUGCCACUAUAAUUAGUCACGUCAAAACAAUGAAACCCUAAGGUAAAAGUAUAUACUUUAAAUUUUUAAAAUGAAUAUUCUUUUUUGUCAUGAUAUGAUCAAGCUAUUGAUAUUUUGUUCUUCUUAAAAUAGUGCUUGUUCAAAAUAUGAAAUCGAAAUCUUUCACUUCAAACCAAAAAAAGAAAAGAAAAUCGAAGUCUAUACAUGCAAGGAGUCGAUAGUAUUUGCAAGGAAUUUGUGGUUUCAACUUCCAGUAAUCAUGACUCAUCACGACCCUAUAAGUAAUAAUAUGCACAAAAUCAAAAUAUACAGUAAUUAAUAAAAACUAAUUACGUUGCAUCUUUUUUCUGUACUUUUUCGAAGAAAACGGAAAGCGUGUUUUGUUUCUUCUAAACGGACGCUAAAUUCAAAUCUUGGAUGUGCCUAAUCGAUUCAAGUAGCUCAGUUUUGGACGUCCACCAGAAUUUUUCCGAUAACAUUUUCGUUUAUAUUAAUAUGAUUUGCUAAUUUCUAAGAUUUCUCGGAUGAUUUGAUGAUAUGGUUCACUUGAUGCUAAAUUACUAACUAAAAACGAAAAGAAAAGUUUUGUGGUGAAAUUGGUGAUGGAAGAAAAUGAAUAUGAGGAACUUGAUGGAUGCUCAGAAAAUUUAAAAUAGAAGUUGAUUAAGACAUUGAAAACCACUUUAAAACUAUAUUGUAAGGUUUCUUAAUUAUGUGAUAAUAUAUCGUACAAAAUUUAUAAGAAUUACUUUAUAAUAGUUUUACCUUAAAAAUAAAAUUUGAUGUGUAAAAUUAAGAGAUAGUUAGUUCAAUAUUUCACUAAAGCAAAUAAUAUAAAUUAAAACCUGUCAAAACUAACGAUGAGUAACAAAAAAAUUACACAAUCGUCUUAUCACUUUGCUUUUACAACUUUGUUUUGCGUUUUUCAGUUGAAAACAUCUAAAUAUUAGAAAUGAUAUCAUUAAACCUUUGAUAUACGGUCUUCAGUUUUUUUGGGUGAUCGUGUUUUUGAAAUCAAGUGUUUCUAGAUAUGCUGAUGCGUUGUUGCUUCAUUAAUAAGACAAAUUUGUUUUCGACAAUUUUAAUAUUUUGAUUUUGCUAAAUCUGUCGUCAAUUAAGUAGAAAAAUAAUUACACGAAAAUAUAGUAGCUAUGAUGGUGUUAAUUAACUGAAUGGGAUGUGAUGACUUUGAUUGAAAUUUACAUUUUCAUGGUUAGAAUAUCCAAAACAAUGCGUGAUCUCAAUAUUUUCUUACAUAUGCUUGAAAUUUUGUUGUGAAUUGUUUUCUAAAACUACGAAAUAAAGUUGGUAAAGCAAAUAAUAUAACGAUUGUGUUUUUCUUUUUUUUUGAAAUCCAGGAGGUUCUGGACCGAAGCCUCUAAUUCCCCAGGUCCAAAACCACAGCAUGUAAUAUUAGUUUCGUCCCAAGCGUCACUCGAACCGGCGACUUCUAAGUUUCGCGUAGGAUUUUUACCAAUUGAGCUAACGACACUUGGUAUAGCGAUUGUGUUUUGCUUGUUAGUUUUUAAGUGUUUUUCUUUUUUUGAAUUUUGUCUUUUUUAUUUUUGCAAAAAAAUUUGUUUACUCCAACCUUCAAUAAUGGAUUGAAUGUGGGUAAAGAGGACAACAUGGUACAUUUCUAGCCAAUUUGAUUUUUUAAAGAGAGGAUUAUAUGAGAAAACUAAUAAACGAGAAAACAAAAGUCCAUUUCGUCCUUUAGGACAGGACACUGAAAAGCCUGCGUCGCCACGUCAGCUUUUUUCAAGUAAUUUAAUAGUGUGCCAGCUAGGACCCCCCAAGUAUUCCCUUUGACCAAUCACUUUUGUAGGUUUGCAAUUGCAAUGCGUCUAAAUAACAUUAUUUUUGCAAUCCUUUUACUUUGGUUUUAUAUUCAUUCACUUAGGUAAAGUGAUAUCAUAAAAUAUCCAUACGAACACUUCUAACAUCCACGAGCUAAAUUGACUCAACUCCUCUCAAAAUCUAGGUUUUGGUCAUUUCUUUCAACUUCUCGUUGCAACUGUAAAUUUAUGGGACAAUCCAUAACUAUCAGAACGAGAUGAUUUAAGUGACCGAAGGACCAAUAUGAUACAUAAAAAGGUUCGAAGGGCUUUUUAAUUCAUGAUAGGGCUUUUUAAAGGGCUUAGCCCAUCAAGUAACAUAUGAAUACCGAAUAUGUUUUUUUUUUCUAUUUGAUUUAAAAUUGUUGAUUUAUCAAAGACAGUAGCUGAACUGAACCAAUAUCAAUUUUCGCUCUGCUUAUUUUCAUAAUUUUCUUUUUAUGUAUGGACAAAAUUUCUUUAUAUCAAAUCAACAAUUUUAUAUAACAAAGUUUUCUUUAUACUUGUUUAUUUCAUUUUGUCAUAUUAAAUCUCUGUUAAGACAGUGUUAAUCGACGUCUAUCUUAAGCCCAUAAAGUUUAGAGCUAACUUUGGACAAUGCUUAAGAGUUAAUACACAUAAUUAUUAUAUAUUCUAAACUAUUUAAUUAUUUCCAGAUAUCUAUAUAUGCUCUUCCUCAAUUUUGUUUAUUUUGUAAAUUUAUGGUUUAGAUAUAUAUAUAUAUUAAUAUAUAUAAUAUUUUAUGUAUAGGGGUGUGCUAUUUUUUUUAUUAAUCAAUGAUGUAUCUUUAAGAAAUAUAAUAAAAACAAAAAUCAUAUUCGUUUAUGAAAUUUUUUAUUAACAAGAAAAAAACGAAAACAUAAAUGUAUAAUUUAAAUUUUCAAAAUUAGUUGGUAAAUCUUACUGCCCCAUUUAAAUUGGACACUAGGUCCCCAAGUGUUGGGCAUGCCUUUAUAUGGUUUUUACUUUUAAUGACCAAAAAGUGUGAUAACCCCUCUUGGGUCCCAAACUUCCUUAAACAAUAAUUAUACAAAUAUGUUAAGAACAUAAGUAAAAUAAAAAAGAAAAAAUUAUACAAUCUAAAAUGUUAAUAGGUUUAUAUGUAAAUUUACCAUUUAGCUAGAGUCAUUUACAAAUUUGUGAUAUUCUUACUAAACAUUGUAAAAUUAGAAUACGUACGACCAAAUAUGAACAUUGAACUUGUCACAUAUAUUGCCUCAUUAAGUAAUAAUACGUAUAUACUGUCAAUCUGUCAUCCAAAGAUAGGUAUAUUACUUUUCUUCGUUUUCAAGUAAAUAAAAGCCUCAUAUAGUACUAAACUAAUUAAUUAUGCUUACAAAAAUAUAGUACUUGGAUUGAGAUAUCAUAAAAGAUAUAAAUAUGUCUUUAAAACCUUACUCUUUAAAAUAGAAAACAGAAAACGUUCACUAGUCAAGUUAAUUCUUGUUAAACUCGACAAGACGUGAAAGUAAAUAAGGAUAUGUACAUGCAUUGUCGUCGAUCUUAUCGCAUCUUCUUCUUUAAUAAAUUUCUUGCUCAAGAUUACAACAUAUUUGUCGGCUCGACCACGAUAAUUCCCCAGAUAAAAUUUAAUAUUUUCUUUGCAGUUUUUUAGUAAACACCAAUGGUUUGCAUCUUUUGAAUAUUUUAAUGAAUUGGUGAAAUUGAGAUAAGUUUUACGUAUCCGAUUAAUAUAGAAGUUCCAAUGGCCAUAACAAAUAGUUGCUUCAUGGUUGCAUAUUUAUACUACAUAUAUCUAUUCUAUAUACCAACUUGUUUUUUAACUGCACGUUCUAUUAUAUAUUAUUAUUUAGGAGUUGUUUCAAGAAAAUAAAAUCAAAUGUCAAUGUUUCUUAUUGUUAAAAAAUUUCUAGUUCUUAGAAAAACUUUUAUCAUUUGAAAAAUUAUAUUAGUAACAUUUUAAAUGUUUUGACAUAGUGGAGUAUCUUAUCUAGUAUUCUUAGUAUGCUGACAUAAUCAUUAUGGUAAUUACUUUAUUGAAUUGGGUUUAUAUUGACAAACGUAAAGUUUGAUAAUUUCAUUUCAAUAAUUGUUGAUAUACUUUUCUCACAUUACGCUUAAACGACAAGGCACUAAACUAUCCAUGAUGUAACCCUCCAACAAAUCAACAUUUAUAUUUCCAAAUUUCCCCUUGCGGUCACCAAAAGCUAAUUACUUUCCUUCUUCUAUUUAUUUCAAUACUAAAACAUAAAAAGCCCAAUUCCAAAAGAUUACACUUGUCUUUAAAUAUUUUCGGCAAAUACUUAAGAAAUAAAUGAAGAAAAGAAUAACCGGCGUUGAAGAUUUUGGGUUUUUUUUUUACUUAGAGAGAGUAUAUAUGAAUUCUAUACUAUACUCCUGCUGUUCUUUAUUAAUUGAUUUUUUAGAAGAAAAAAAACUGUUUCAAAAAGAUUUAUUUUUAAGAUUUUUUUAUGCACUAUGUAUUAGUUAUUAUUGAUGAAUUUAUUAUUGAUAAAUUUUAAACUUCAAGAUAAGUAACUAAAUACCAUUGGUUUAUAAUUAUAGAAAAAUGUAAAUUACAAAGACUGAUACAUUUGUAAUCAAUUUUAAUAUAUUUUUUAAAUUUGUGUGUUUUUUAGAAAAUUAAUUUAAAAAACAGAUGGAGUAUAUAAUUGAUAAUUUUUUAGUUAUAUUAGAACCAGCAAUUUUAAAAAGCAAAGUUCUGGUUUUAGUUGAGUGAAGUGCUGUCCCUGACCUACAACAGUACAACCUAACAUACUAGUGUUUUAGACAUUAAUACUCAUUAACAAAAAUAUUUGUUUUAGACACUAAAACUGGACCGGGUUUGGAUUUGAGUAUUAUGUUUAUGUAUUUUUUGUUGGCGAAAAAUCAAUCUUUGUCUGAAAAGCUACAUAGCCUUGACUACUAUGGAAAAAGAAAAUUUAUCCACAAUGUUACAUGUAUCGUAUUUAACAAUUUAGAUAUAACAAACCAAAUAUAUAAUAGGAAUUUCGAUCACAUAUGUAUAGCACUUUCUUUUUUAUUGUUUUACGAACUUUUUUUGCUAGUUACCCGGUUCAUCAAAAUUUAAUUUGUUGACUGUGGGAGUCAUAUAUCUUGAGUUUGUUUGGCCAAUAAUCUAAAGCUAAUGGAUGAACGAUCAGGAAGAUGCAAACUACAUUAUCCAUCAAUUACUCCAAGUCGUGGCCAAAGGCAAUAUUUUCUCAUCAAAGUAAGAAUUCAACGUCUAACAAAUAUUCAAAUCAAUUUCUGCAUUUGCAGGGAAGGAGAAUGAAGAAAAUGAAGUGGCAAGCAGUGUAAAACUAUAUACGAUUAGAAAAAAUAUAACAAAUUUUAGCGAAUACGAUUAUAAAAUUAUAUACCCAACAUAUUCUUUGUAUGUAUAUUUUUUAACAUAAGUAGUGAGCAUUAAUGUUGUCGACGAAAAUUUCAUUGUUAGGUAGGGGCCAUAAUGAUAUGGAAGUGAUCUUCUGCUUAAUUAAUUGUAGUUUUAAAGUCCAUGACCAGUUCUUUUCAUUGAGAAAUAAAUUCCUCUCCAAUCUAAAUCUAGUUUUAGAUUUUUGUUUACCAUUUUUUUAUUUGAAUUUCCAUCAACCGAAAGAGCUUUUCUUUUGGUUUGCUUUAUUUCUUUUUUCAUGCUCUUUCAACCGUCAAAGUAACGUCUCUAGUCUCUUUGUCUACUUCAGUUAACAGUCUUCUACUCUCUCUCUUUCUUUUAUCUUUUCUCUUUUUGUUUGAACCUCUUGCCUUGAGGAACAAAGUGUUGAAACAUAAAUUAAGAGAUGCAAUUUGUAAGAAUUCAUACACACAAAAGAUAUAGUCGGAACAUUGGAUUAUGUUUUUCAAUCUAAGUAACGGAACAUAGGUUCAUAUACUGAAUUUGUUAAUGAUUUUUAAAAAAAAUCUCAUACAGUAUAUAUCGUUUGUAUAAAAUUUAUUAGAUUUAAGUGAUAAUUUGAUUGAUUAAAGGGAAGCUAAUCAUCAAUAUCAUGCUGAAUACUUUUGAUCAUGAGAGUUGCUUUUUGAUUAUAUUAUAACUAACUUCUUGGGAUGAUUAACUUAAAACUAUAUUAAUUUCAUUUUUAAAAUGGUUUAGUUAGGUAUACUAUUAACUCAUGGUUUGAUUGGUAAUUUUUAACCGCCUCGUCUGUAACCGAAACGCUUUGAAAGUUAUCAAUAAAUAAAGCGAUUAAAAGAAGCGGUUGGAAUAAGUAGAUUGUUGUAGAGAGAUGUUGGGAGAGAAAAAAAAAUAAGACGGUUGGAUUUGUUUUUUAUUUAUUUAUAAAUUCACAUAUAUUAAUCAUAAUUUAAUUUCUUUUUAUUAUUUUUAUUUCAACGUUCCUAUUAUUUGACCGCUUGUUAUCAAUCAUAACCAUAAUUUUACAGCUCAUUUUAAUUUAUUCACCUUCUCUUCUGCUUGCUCUAACAAUUUUGUUCAACAACUGCUAAAAAAACUGUUAACUAUAUUUGUGAACGAUGUUAUCAAUGGAACCCUCAGUCGUUUGGGUUGAGGAAAUUAGAAAGUAACAUUAUUAAGUCAGGGAGAGGUUACAAAAAGAAGGGACAAUAAUAGGUAAUCAAUAGGGUUGUUGCAUUCUUAAUUUGACAAAUUAACUACCACUGAUUUUUAUAAUUACAACAAGAGUUGACCAAUUGUAAUAAUAACACUCAUGAUGUAAUGACAAAAUUAUAUAUUGCAUGAGUAGUUUGUACAUUAUAUUUCGUAAAAAUGACUAAUUCAAGGACCCCAUAUAAUGAUAUAUAUACUCUACUUCUUAAGUAAAGUUACCCAAGUUUUGUUCCAAAAAAAAACGUAUAGUUACCUAAGUAUGACUAUUAGAAGGGGGCUAUUUAAUUUAAGGAUUGUCAAGAAAUAUUAAAAACUUUUCAAACAAGUGUUUUUUUAUAAUGUUAAUUUAUCCUCUUUACCUUUUAAUUCAAAUGUUGUUUUAUAUAUAACUUAAAUUUUGUUUGCUAACAAGUAUAGCUUUAGGUUUUCAAUAUAGAUUUUUGAUAAAACUAUCGUUUUAAUGUAUGAAUAAUGAAAAAAAAAUAAAUAUAAUAAUAACUUAAUAAGGGGUAAAAUCCAAAGUUUGUUUUAGAAAGAAAAAAAAAUAUGUGAAAAUUUUAAAUGACACUUACUGUGGAACAGGUGGAGUAUUACUCUUUAAUUAACCACAUUUUAGGUUAUAUUUUCCUAGACAAAGAAUCCAUAGGGAUAAGGAGUGAAUCCUGAACAAAACCCAAUUGAGCCCAAUGAAUAAAAAAGACAUCCAAAGUAGGUUUGAAGGAAAGGAUAGUCCAUGCUCCCUCCAUGUAGAGUGAGUGAUGGUAAGUAAAUGUGUCUUAUGAAGCUAUCGACACCAAGUUGGAGAUAAACAAAAUUGAAAAGCCAAUGUACGUAUGAUGUUGAUUCAGGAUUAAAAAUUUAUAAUAUGGUUAUAAAGUAACAUAUAUCGUGGAUUUGAAAUCUGAAAAAGUCACGUACUGUAUGUUGAAUAUGUAAGGUGUGUUAAUUGUAAAUCAUUAUAUAAUAACAGGUUCAAAGAAAACGAGUAGCCACCUGCCGAUGCAAAUUUUUUUUUGCCAAUUACAGACAAAUCAAAGAUUUGGGAUUGGAGAGGAGAAGAUCUAUUGAAACCGACACAUUAGGUCCAAAACAUUUCAUUUUAAUUAUUAUGAUUUAACGAAAUAGUAAAAUACAUAUAUCAACCUUUUUGGUCCGGUCCCUGUUCUUACGUCUGUGAUCAUAAAGUAUAGAGUGAUUUUUUAUUUUUUUUCAUUAUACAAAUUACAAAUGACUAAUUUAAUUAAUUAGUGAACUUUUAAUUUGUCGAUAACCAAUAAGAAUGAUGGAAAACGGCAAAAGAGUCGACUGUUGAAGUUUGUCGGAAAGACACUCCACCAAAAUAUAAAUACAAAUCUUAUCACUAGUGGAAACUGUCGAGUGUGUGUAGUUCUCUUUUCCUUCUAAUAAAAGAAUAUUAUCUUUCUAAAUUCUUCCAAAUUCAUUUUGGAAUUUUCUUUCCUUUUUCUUUUUGUUGACAUGAAAUUUUGGAGUCUUCUUCUAUCGCCAAUUACGACUAAAAAAACGAUUUUAUAUAUAUCAACAUAGCUCUAACAAGAACAUGAUAAUCGCAAAUAUACAUAGAUUUGCCUAUUUGUACACAAGCAAAGUUAGUUUUAAUACUCAGUAUAUUACAUCUCAUGAAAAGAAUUUACAGUUUUUUCUAUUAAAGCUGUGGGAGUUUUCUUCUAAAAUGUUUUUUUUUGUCGUCCUUGUAAAAUGUUCUACAUUCGUCAUUUUCAGGCUAUCUUUGAUUUCGAAAGCUGUGGGCGUUUUCUUUUUUUAAUUUUUUUAAUUUUUUUUUUUUUUUGUCUUUUUCUACGAAAAUAAAAUAGCGUGCACUGUAUUGUUUCUUUCAACUUUAUUUUUUGACUAGUGAAAGACUAGACAUUUUGUUGCCCUGCCCCUAUAUUUUUUGUGUUUAUUUUAAGGUUGUUUUUUCUCUUUUUAUAAUGACCGUAAAAUGAGUUUUUACAAAAUCUGCUUCAAAUAUGUAAUGAAAACCUUGAUAAUAUGUAAAUGUACUAAAAACAAAAUCUUGAUAUGGGUACAUGUGAAAAUAGUAUAUUUCUGUUCUAAGAAUAUACUGUUUUAUGUUCUAAAAUAUCAACAAAUAGAUAUCUUUGCAUUUUUUUUUAUACAUCAAUAUUAGUAUUACCUACAUUGUCUAAGAGAUGUAACCCAACUUAUGUCGCAACUAGAACUACAUCUCAGAAAUCACCGAGCCGAGAGAAAAUUGUAAGAGUCCUCGACCAGCAAAACGUAGGAACAUCAACUCAAAGCAGUCGAGAAUAAGAACCACUGACUUGCAUCAAAACAGAAGAUCUAACCACACCACACAGAAUCCGAAAAGAAGACAUCCACCAUCGUUUAAACUUUCAACCCUUGACCCAACCACCGGUGAUAAAGACUUGUCCAUUAUAGUUUACUAAAGUUUAUGAUCAAACUUAAAAUAUCUGUUGUUAGAUUGAUACCUCUAAUUCCUUUGAAUUGCUUCUUAGAUUUCCACUUUACCCUUCCACGAUUUUUAAGCAAUGGAAAAUUAAGUUUCAUUUGUUUCAGAUUUUAAUAUUAAUCCCCUUCUAUGCAAAUUGAGGGACCACGUAGAAAGUUGUGAGAAUCUCAAUACACAAAAGAUAUAGAAACAAUGAUUACAUGCACAAGCACGAGGCCAUAAAUUUCCUUAUCCUAUACACAUUUUCAAUAAAGAUGUAACAUUCCAAACAGAAAACCCUCUUGUAGCUCACUCUACAAAAAAAAGAGUAUAGAAUUCCAAUAUUAAAGUUUAUAGGUCGACUAUUUCAAAACCAAUUGCUAUAAAGUAAAUUGAUUAAUAUUUUUAUACUCUCUUCGAUUUAUAAUAUAAGUUGUUUUGGACCAAUUUUUUUGUUUUACAAUUAAAUUGUUUUUAAGUUUUUAUGCAAACUAUAUAUUUAUUUUAAUAUUUUAUAAUUAUUUAUAUUAUGCAGUCUCUUUUGUGAUUGGUUGAACUUUUUAAAAGUAAAUAUUCUUAAUCUUCGUACUUUUAGGUAAAACAACUUAUAUUGUGAAACGGAGGGAGUAUAUCAUUUACAAUUUCUCUUUAUUUAGUUUUGUGGUGAUUCCGAAUAUUAAUUACAACUUGUACCAUUUAAUUCAACCAUAUUCGAAGAAAACAUUAAAGGCAAAACAAAUUAAGGGGAAAAAGAAAUCAAAAGUUAAAAAAAAAAAUUAAGACCAAUGAGAAUAGAUAAGGGGUAAAAGACAAAAAGAGAAUAUAAAAAAAACAAAUAGCAUUUGGCGCCAAAAGUAAAACUAAAAUGGUCAUGUCACGUGAUGUUAAUUUUUGCUCUACGACCAAAGCAAAACAAACCUAAAGUUUUCCAAAUCUCUGGGUCCCACUCUCAGAUGUGCUGACUUUUAUUUUUUUUACUUUUGUCUUAAAUCUUUGGAAAUUUUCAGUUUUAAUUUAAUUUAAUUCAUCUCUCUUUCUCACUCUAUAAAUCCCCACAGAUCCGUCACACUUCACCUAGAGACCCUCCCACAGCUUUCUCGAUAACUGACAAUCCAACGGUUGAGAUUCAGUUCUUCUAGAUAAAUUCACAUAUCCAAAGGACACGUGGCGGCGAGAGAUGAAAGAAAGUAGCCGGAAGCAAGGAGCUGCGUCACCGUGUGCUGCGUGUAAGCUUUUGCGGCGGCGGUGCGCUCAAGAUUGCGUUUUCUCGCCGUAUUUUCCGGCCGAUGAGCCUCAGAAAUUUGCUAAUGUUCAUAGAGUGUUCGGUGCUAGCAACGUCAACAAGAUGCUUCAGGUUUCUUUCUUCUUGUUCUUCUUAAGAAUAUCUAAAACGUGCUUACUCAUAUGUUGGGUUAGGUUUAAUUAGGAUGAUUUUCUUGUUUCUUAUUUUAGAUGAGACAUUACUAUCAUUUCCAUAACUUUUUAUUGACAACUACCACAUGGGCCGACCCGUUUAUAUUAUAAGUUUAGGGAUUUAAAAACAAAAUUGUUGAAUUUUAAGAAUUUAGGAAUAUGUUACAUUUAUUAGCUGAUGUUGAAUUUUAACCAUAUUAACUUUUGUUAGCUAAUGUUAAUGAUAUGAUUUACAUUUCUUAGCUAGCUGAUGUAGAGUCUACAUUUGAGAUGGAUUAUAUAAAUUUUAUAUAGUCUUGCGAGAUUAAUUGGUCUAGUGGCUGACAAAAUGUUUUAAAAACUCAACAGGAAUUACCAAUCCACCAGCGAGGGGACGCUGUGAGCAGCAUGGUUUACGAGGCUAAUGCAAGAGUGCGGGAUCCGGUUUACGGUUGCGUUGGGGCAAUUUCGUCCCUCCAGCAACAGAUAGAUGUGUUGCAAGCUCAGCUAGCUCUAGCUCAAGCUGAGGUGGUGCAUCUACGUGUACGCCAGUCGACUAAUUUCCCAGGGCACGGACUAUGCCCGGAUAGUCCGAGUAGCAGCGGGUCACCGUCUUCGAAGCAAGUGAGUCCACAGGACAACAAGGGCAUGUUUAGCCAUAUGGACAUUGUGGAUGAAGCCAGUUUGGGAGAGUCUAUGUGGUCUUGCUAGUCAAUAAUGCUCUCUUUCUGCUACUGCAAUUUCCUCUUCCUUUUUUGGGAAAUUUCGGGAUUAUUAUAUAUUAAAUUUAGGGGUAGGAUAUGAAAAUGCUCUGUUUUGACUACAGAGUGAAAUUAUUAACAUGAUAUAGAUACAUAAAAAUACUAAAUAUAUUUAUAUAUUAUAAAUCUCUCUCUAUAUAUUUAUUAGUAUUUGUAACUUUGUAAUUCCGGGGUAUUUGGGAUUUGGUGUAUGUGUAGGACCUUUGGAUCAUGAUCCGGUAGGGUUAUUUUGAUCAUUUCCAACCGAGGAGGGAUCUUUGUUAUUGACCUAAUGUAAAUUUGUGAGAUAUAUUAUUUAUCUAUAUCUAUAUACAAUUAUGAUCAUGUAACCCAUGGUGUGUGCUUGACUCUGUGAGCAUAUUAUCGUGUAAUGGUCAUCUUUGAUACUAGCUAAGUCUAGCUUAGCAAUUAGCACUAAGCACUUGUAUGGGCCUGAAUUUUUAUUAUGCAAACUUAUGGCCCAUUUGUCUUUAUUUUUUGGUUUCCUUGCAAACAUUUGCCAUUUGAUAGUCGCUGAUAGAAUCGCUCGCAUAUGAAGGAAACAGAAAGACCGGACCGGAGCAUGUGCUUGUGGUAAGAAAUUUACAGUGAGCUUAAGAAGAAACACAAGUAAUUUAGUCUAUUAUAGUUCAAGAGCUUCUCCUGCAUUCAUGCAAAUGCAAGAGUGGUAAAAUAGCAUUAUACUAAGUAAAUUUGGUUAUGCUCCUGUGCGUUAUAUCAGGAUAUUCCCUUCAAGCAAUUGAGCUUCACAUAGCAAUCACUAGACCGCAAAAUCACAAUCUGUCAAUCACCAUUUUAGCCAUAAUUCUUUCUACUUGCGCAAUCCAAAUUUUAUAAGGUUUUCGACAAUGCAUUGUUUUUCAAUAAGUACAAUGGAAAACAAAGAGAUUAGAGAGAGUAACACAAAAGCAGAAAACAAGUUCCCUUUUUAAACAUCCUUAGCAAUGAGAUCACCAUUGAGAAACUCUCUGUAGGCAGCAACGGGCCAAAUGAAACCACGGAAGAUGAUCCGACUAGCCAAAGGAACAUCGAUGAUGAUCUCUUUCAUCGCGGGUUUCUUCUCACCACUAAUAGCUAUUAAGUAGCUUCUUCCAACCCACCCGAUCCAUCCAGCAAUGUAGAGGAAAAGAAUCCCUGGAGUAAUGAACUCUCCCCAAUGCCGCUGGUCUCCGUUCACUAUCAAGUGCGGUAAACCGUCUGACCCGCAUAACAAUCCGUACUUCCCGUAGUUGUCGAACCUAACAUACAUUCAUAAGCACAUCAACUUCAAACCAAUCCACAGUUCCACAAGCUCCUCAAUAGAUCAUAUCAAUGAUCAAAUUUAACAUGUCUAGCAACUUCGAAAACUCACUAACUCACCAAAAAAAUCAUACUAAAGCAAUGGAUCUAGCAAGUAAUUCACUAAAACAGAGAAAAACUCUGUUUCAGAACAGAGGAAAGCUCUGUUUCAGAACAGAGAAAAAGCUCUGGUUUAACGAAGAAAUAGAAAUGGAAGACGAACCUGCGUUUGGUUUUCUCGAUCUGAGCAUUGAGAGCAAGAGCAGGGGCAGAUUCAGGAGCGUAGAGCUUAAGAGAAGAUUCAAGCUUCUUGAUCUGUUGCUUCUCUCUUUUAGCGAACUGUUUUGAGUCCUUGCAAGGAGUCAAACCUGAGAUAUCAGCGACAGCUGGCAUAGGAGCAGAGAGGAGGAUGGAAGAGAGGGCGACGGCGGCGGAGAAAGCUUUCAUGGAUUGAGGUGUGGAGGAGGAGGAUUUGUCAUCGGAGCAGACGAAUCUUGCGGAGGAUUUAGGUACGGAUUGAGUGAGAGAUUUGUUAGAUCUCGGGUUGAGAACGAGAUUCGCCGGGAUAGUGAGCGACAUGGCGCUUUGUCGGGUUCUUUGGAGAUUUCGAAUUCUAGGGUUCUGGAGUUUUGGGUGAAGUGUGGAGAGAAGACUUAUGGGAGGAGCUUUAGAUUCUUGAGGGGAUUAGUGGAGGGAGAGGAAGAUAAGAGAAGUGGUCUUGGGGUGAUGAGGUGGCGUGUUGUGAUUGGUUGAUAAGUAACAUGUCACUGGAUAAGAGAUUUUGCCGCGGAUUUUAAUAGUUUUGUCAUUUUGAUGUUCAAGAUAUGUGGACUACACACGACUUAUCUUUUAUUUAUUUUUAAUAUCUAUACAUAUUAUAUAUACACUGAAAAUAAUCAUAUAUAUAUAUAUAUGUAGCAAAAAAAAAAAGAGAUGUAGUUUUUUAGUCCUGAUUAGUUUUUUUUUUGGCAAAUAGUCCUGAUUAGUAAGACUGCAAAAUUGAGUCUUUUAUUGGUUAACCACAUAAUAAGAAAAUGGGAUCAUGAGUUUGCAAUAUCAAAGAAUUAAAUCUAUAUAUGACCAAAAUAAACAUUAGCAGAAUUACAACUCCUUCUACCAUUCCGCCGGAAGGAGGCUACAUUUUUUGUAAUGUUUGUUUGAAAUGCUUCACAGAUAUCUUCUGAUAAGAUCUCUUGAUCUGUCUCUGAAGUCUCAACACCUUAAUUAGGGUUUCAUCUCUUAAGAUAUGCUUUUCUUUAAAGUUUUACCAUUUUUUCAAUGUAUUAACUGUCUAUUUCCUGGCAGAAGAAACAAAUUUCUUCACAUUUACCCAUAUAUAUAUUGUUUAUAGCAAAAAUAUUUCGUCUUUUUUUUUUUGGUCUAAUUAUAUCCGAGAGGAGAAUUUGGUUGUGUUACCACAUCAUACUUUGAAGUUUGAACUCGUUGAAUUAAUAACACGCAGUUCUGAUAUAUAUUAUUCUUUUGUGAAAGAAGUUCUGAUAUAUUUCUAGAUGUUUUUUUUCCUUUUUUUUCUUUUCUAGAUGUUUCUUAUAGAAUAAUCAAUGUGUAAACCAUUACUAGCUUUCUUAUUUACAUCAAAGAGAUAGGAAAAUACACAAAUAAAGAAGGAAAUUCAUCCCAAGAAAACUAAAGACAAUCAAAAGAUUACAAGUUACAACAAUUCACAAUAAGUCAAACAAAAGCAUCUUCCAAUAGAGACAAGCAAGACAGACAAAGAAGAGAAAAUGAAGGAAAAUCAGACGUUGUGAGAAUUGUCGGGCUUGGCGUGUGGAGACAACGGCGGAGAGGAGGCGGCGAUAGCACCGGGAGGCGGAGCUGGAGCUCCAUACACCUGAGGAUUUGUACGGAUCUCACGACGGCCGCGAGAUUUUCCGAGGAAGUAGCAGCCAAAUCCGAGAAGUAGACAGAAGAAAAUUAGAGGCAGAGAUAUGACCACAACCAAACCCAUCGAUCUUGACUCUUGAGAUCUAUGUUCAAUCUUCUUUCUGAUUGAUUUUUAUUCUUGGACUCUUGUUCUUGCUUUGAUUCUACUUCACAUGUAUUUAUAUGUAUGAGUUUGUGGGAGGCUCUGGAAGGAUCCGAUUCUGUCCGCAACGUUUAUGUCUUGUAAAGCUUUAAAGCUUAACGUUUAAAUCUCAACGGUCAUCUUUUUUUUUGGUCGGCCCAUCCAUACGAUUUCUUCUAGUUUUUAUAAUCACAUUAGUCAUGUCUCAUGUGCUUUUCUGGCUAUGAAAGUAUAGAGAAUCAAACUCAAGUUGACAAGUUAAGUUACUUAGAAAAUUAAAGUAAAAAUUGUUAAAUGUGAUGGACACUCAUUGGAUUUGACGAUUUGUAACCACUAUUUCAUUGUAAUGCAAAUAAAUAUGGGACUAUUGAUGGACUCAUGCAACCAGCAAUCUCAAUCGGCCUGGUCCGAUCUUACACAUAGCUCGAUCCUAUUUUCACAUGUCUAGCCUCUUUCUUGAAUGAAAGAUAUUCAUCAUAAAUAGCUAAAUCCCAAAUAAAUAUGUUAAAGUACGAUUCGAUGUUAAACAAAACAAAAUGAUUCGAUAUUUAACAGAUUAUUGGUAAAAUGAUCCAAACCCAGUGAAACAGCAUAAUAUUCAAAGUAUCAUAUCCAAAUUGCAAUCACUUUUUUCCCAUGAACUCCAACAAGCCAUACAAAGAGAAAAAGAUAUCUUCAAGAGUUACUUCUCAGAGAAGACCAAAACCACCCCUAAGGGCAAGAACCAGAUGAAGAACAGAGCCUCCCUCUAUGUUGUAGUCCUUUGCCGUUUUGUCAUCAGCUAGCUGUUUUCCGGCGUAGAUUAGCCUGCAAACAUCCAUGAGAUAUAUAAGCAUCCUAGAAAUACUAAUGAGAAUCACUGUUAUAUGAGACAGCAUAGAUUAUCAGCUUGCACGCAGAGUAGAAUCGUUUGAUGCCAAAAGCAUAAGUAAACACACUCGAAAGGAGCUGCAAUUUUCUCAAGAGGGAAGCAGCCAGUCACUAAAACAUGAAAAUCAAGUCAAUGAACCGCAACUUAUACAAUCAAGUAAAAGAGCUGAGCUGAAAGGAGCUGCAAUUUUCACAAGAGGGGCAAGUCACUAAAACAUGAAACUCAAGUCAAUAAACUGCAACCUAUCUUAUACAAUCAGUUUUGACUCAACCACACAAACAACUCUAAGAGAGCUGAGACAGAUAUCACAAAGAGUUAAUAUAGUUCAAGACUCAAUGUUCCCAAGGCAAAAACUUUGCGACUCAAUUCUUCUGAAGUAACUGGAAAAAAAGAAGUUAUUUACCUUUGUUGAACAGGAGGGAUACCUUCUUUCUCCUCAACACGUUCCUUAAUCCGAUCAAUAGUAUCGGUUGGUUCGAUAUCAAUCUCAAUUUCCUUCCCUGUGAGAGUCUUCACCUUAAUCAUAGUCCCACCCCUAAGCCUCAAUACCAAGUGAAGAGUCGAUUCUUUCUGAAUGUUGUAAUCCGCUAAUGUUCUACCAUCUUCAAGCUGCUUACCAGCAAAUAUCAACCUCUGUUGAUCAGGUGGUAUUCCCUCUUUGUCCUGUUUUCAUCAAAUCCCAUCCAUUCAUAAACCAAUUAGAAGAAGACCAAAUCAAAAGAUCAUUAACAAUAAUCUUAAUCCAAUCUUCUUAAACUCAGAAACAAUUAACCAUUCUCAAGCAAUUCACAUACCUUCAAGUGUACCAUAAAACAUAAACAAAUACGAAAUUAAGCAAACACAUGAAGGAUUAAGAGAGCCUUUGUGCUUACUGUUACACAGAAAUCUAAAGAAAUCUUAACAUCGAUCGCUAGAUAAUCGGGGAAAGAAAACCUAAAAAUCAAUCAAACAAAGCAAACCAAUCUGUGUCUCCAACAAUCAAACAAAUUCAUAGUGCAAAACCCUAGAAUCCUAAGAAAAGCACGAGGAGGUGGAAUUGGGAGACGGAGAAAGAGAGAAAGAGAAACCUGAAUUUUGGCUUUGACAUUGUCGAUGGUGUCGCUGCUUUCGACCUCUAGGGUUAUGGUUUUUCCGGUGAGGGUUUUGACGAAGAUCUGCAUUUUUUUUUUCCUUUCUUCGCUGAAAUGGUGUUUAUGAAUAUUAUUACGGACGGGAAAAGUAUUAUAUAUAUACAAAUAAAAUUUGGGAUAUAGUUUUGAGGAUUUUGGAAUAAAAAUACUUUUUGAAAGAUUUGGAAUAAAUCCUUUGAUAGAAUUCGUAAUUAGCUUUUGGGCUACGCUAUUAUUUCUUCUCCAUUUCUUAUAUAAUUUUACUAACAAUUUUAAAAAUUAUCUUUAAAUCAAAUAUAUUAAUGUGGCUUUAAAUAUAUUGAGAUUUUUUUGUUUGUUUGUUAUUUUAGGAUAUUUAACUUUUAAAAACAAAAAUUAAAAGAGUUUUUAGAUUUUGUACUAAAAUUAGUUUUCUUAGAUUUUAAGAAAAUAUGGGGACAUUGAAUUUUUUUUUUAGUUUUAGAACCAAAAACGAAAACAACAAAUUGUUGACAUUCAAUUUUGUUGGAAUCUAGAGCUUAGUGCAAAACCCACUAGUCUCUACAUACUAUGGACCAUGUUGUGGCAGUGAGUGGUUUGACGCGAAACCUCUUAAAUACUAUGGUCAAAGAGAUCAAGCUAUGUUCAAUUUUAGACGGUGAUAAACCUGAAAGGUCAAAUGGAAGAAUCUUAAAAGCUCGACAACAUUUCAUUGGACUUGAAUGGGUUGUCUCUCUAGCUAGCGUUUUGUUAUUAUAAACGCAGACUCAUCGUGAAAGAAUUCACCCUUUCAUGUAGGUAUUGGAGACGCUUCACGCUUGUUUGGACCAUAUGUGUAUCCCAAUGGCAUCAUACCAAAAUUAAAGACAUCUCUCUAACCGUUUUCUUCUCAACCACUAAAAAGCCUUUUCACCAUCUUUAUUCAAACUUGUUCACAUAUAGAACCCAUGUGAUUUUAAAAGUAUGAACCAUAUGAUAGAUUACAAGAUGGUCCACAUUGACGUGAAGAGCUCAUAUAAAAGAUGGCCUUUAUUUCUUGUCAAUUUAUCACAAAGAGGUCUCUCAUUAAGCCCAAUGGAUCGGAUAAUUUUAAAUCCAACCCAAUAGAUCACUUUUCUCAAUUCUCUAUUCUAAGGUUUUUAAGCUUUGGUUUCUACAUAUAAAUUCAAUUAAUUUUCUGCUGAUUUUUUAUUUUCACUGACAUAUGUUAGCUUUCUGAAAGUUGGUUUCAGUCAAUUGAAAAUUGAAAUCAGUUAUUCAACACCACAAUAAAGAUGCAACGAAAAAACAAAAACAAGUUACACAUAGCUAACGCCUUACAAUGCAUGAGAGGACUUUAUAAAAUAGGUGAUUCUUAUCCAUAUUUUUGUAUGUCUACAUCUUGAGUUGUUGAAUAAACGUGGUUUGUUCUGGUUUACUCCAAGUUGGUGAGUCUCUUAACAUUAUAGCAUCACCGAUGGCUUUUGGUCAGUUUUGGUAUGCUUAAUCAAUCUCCAUAAAAUAGAACAGAUAAUAGGUAAAUGAACCAUUAUAAAUCUCAUCAAACUUAAAUAUUAACUUAAAAUCAAAUGAUAAAAUGAAUCGACUCCCCAAUGUAUAUAUGAAUAAAAGGUUUAAAUGCAUGUAGCGGACGAAAUUCGCUAAACGAUUAGCGAAUUAGAUUAUUAUAUUUUUGGGAUAGAUAACAAUCUAUUGUAUACCAAAUUUAUUUCUAUGUACAAACGGAUCAUAGUUAGUCCGCAUCAGAUUUGUUAUAUUUUUUGACAUGUACUACUAUAAAUUAUACUAGAGGUUCACUCCAUAAACGGAUUCGUCCACUCCAACUAUCGUAACCAUUCGUAUCCAAAAUUUUAUUUUAUUUGAUAUGUGAAAUUUCUAAUAAUUGUACGUUGAUUCAUAAAGGAGAGAGAGAUAUUCCAUAUUUCCACAACCAAACAGAUUUUUAUUUUUAACUACGAGUUGAAUAAAAAUUAUAUAAAGUUGUAUACCAUAAAUUAAGAUUAAAAAAUUCUGACGUGUAUUGUCUUUUCAUUUGCAGUGCAGGUAUUAAAAAAUAACGACAAGAUGACACUUUUCCACCAGAAAAACGGGAAAACAGAAAAUAAAAAAAGUUCCGUAUACUAAAGGAAAAGAAUAAUAAUAAUAAUAAUAAUAAUAUCACAAAAAAAAUACGUCAGCAAAAAUUCGGUUGACUCAUUCUUGGUAAAACAUGAACCGAAACCGGUUCAAGUCCAUCAGGAAUCUCAACAUUCCAAAUCUUCGCCGGCUCCGCCGCAACAUCCACCACAACAAUUUUCCCAUCACCAGUAACAACACAAAGUUUACCGGAAUCCGCCGUUACUUGCGUAGCUCCUUUAAGCAUCUCUUCUCCACCUUCAACCACAACCACUUCUCUCCACUCUCUCUUCUCAUCAUCGUACUUUCUCACUGUCCCUCUCCUCUCAUCCACCGAAUAAAGAAUCUCCUCCUCCAUCGCCGCAACCGGGCCUCUCCAUCCAACCAACAUCUCCUCCGGCAUAGGUUCCCAAUCAUCUUUAACGACGUCGUAUAUAGCUCCUUCUUUAACCGCGUCUCCUUUAACAUUUACCAUUAAAAGCUUUCUUCUAUAUCCAACAGCGUCUAUAGCUUCUCGACUAAACCGUAAAUCUCUCAUAUCUCUCAAUUUCUCCCAAUUAAACCGGUGGUUAUUCCGGUUUUGUUCGGUUAGAUCUAAUUUCUCGACAGAUUUCGCGACGGUUGAUGAGAACUGAGAACUAAUUCCGCUUGCGAUGUAGAUAGCUCCGUCGCAAGCUCCGGUGGCGCACCACCGUCUUGGAGAUCCGAUUCGAGGACCGGAGCUCCAGGAUGACGAAAUUGGAUCGAAAAUUAACGGGUGAGAGAUCGCCGGAGAGAGUUGUUGGUUACUUCCGGCGAUGAGAAUGAGUUUUCCGGCGGCGGAGACGCAUUGAAUCGGUAAAUUAAAGGAGAUAAACGACGGAUGACGGUAAAGAAUCCGGUGAAGAGGCGGGUCAGGUGGUGGAGGAGGAAGCGGAUACCAUUUUGAAGAAACCGGGUUGAAACACAUAAACCGGACUGACGGGUUGACCCGACCCGUAUCCGAUGUUGAAUCGACGAAAAGAGCGUAGAGUGACGGAAACGAAGGAAAUUCCGGCGAGUAAAGAAGACGGCGCCACCGUGUACACACGGCGGAGAGUAACGACGGACGGUGAACGAGAGACAGACAGAUCUCUGAGAUGUGAUCGGGAAGUCCUUCGAUUAAAGCGGAGUUUUCAUUUCCGGUGACUGUUCUUCUUCGUUUCGCCGGCGGUGAUUCUGCGGCGGUGGUUGACAUUGAUUCACGCCGUUUCAGUUUUUUUUCCAUCUCUCUCUUUUUUUGUUUUUGUUUUUUUUUGGAGUUAUUAAAGAGAGAUAAAGGAGGCGUGAAGUGUAAUGAAUGAGAGGGAAAAGUAAGUAAAGGCGUAGGAGCCAUACAUAUAUCAAAAUCGAAAAGGCCAAAGUUGGAAAGUGUUACCAUCUCUAUCAUAAAUACGUAAAGCUAACUUAUAAAAUUAAAAUUAUACAUUUAUAGCAUCACAUAUGAUUAUAGUAUUCAAGUGGCUAUAGAGAAUUUUAUCAGUAAAAUAAUAUUAGUUAUAUUUGAUUAUCUUAUACAGUAUUUUAGUUUCAGAAGCCUAUCAAGUAUCAACCAUUAAACAAAGACGUGAAGACUAGAGAUUUUUAGUAAGAAUUGUGGUUGGUUUCCAUCGAGAUCAAUUUUUAAUAUCGAAAAAGAACCGGUGAACAGAAAUAAAAUUUAUUUUGUAAAAACUUAGUUUUGUUGGCUUAAGCUUUUAAAAUAUGUGACUUCAUCCUAUUUAAAAUAUACUCAUGAAAAAAACAAGAAUUAACUAUAUUAGGGUUACUUUAGCCUUUUUGCGGAUGAGAUAAAAAAAAAAAAGCAGAGAAAAAUCACCAUAAUAAUUAUUAUUUUUUAACUCUAUCACCAUAAUUUUUUAAUUAAAAAGAAUUCUCAUAAACAUAAAAAAUAGAUGAAAGAAAAAAAGAAGAAGCUGACAAGUAAGUAAAGGGUAAAGGGGAGAACCUAAUCUUCUAAUUAUAAAAUUCUAUUGGCAUUUAGUCAUUAUUAACUUAUUUCCAUUUUCUUCAUUGUCAAUUUGUCAUACAAUGCAAAUCUAUAUUAUAAUUAUAUGUUAUUUUCUACAUUUCUAUAUGAAUAAAUUUACAAAGUUUCCACUUUCAUCUUUGUGCUAGUGUGUAUAAUCCAUAUUAAUAUUAUGUGCGCAUCUUAUUGGAUAAUAUUUUUGUUGAUUCAUUGAUAAUUAUGAUAAGGUCCAAAAUCUCCCUUUUUAGAGCAACUUCUAUUAUUAUUUUUUAUUUUUCUGGAAGGAAAAAAAAAAGUGACAGAGACAUCCGUUUGGUGUGUGAUCCAGAUCCAGCCUUCUUUUCCCAAUCUUCUCAAUAAUGGAUAUGCGUUGGAUUUUAACGUACAUCAAUCGUUUCUUUCUCCUGAACGAUCAAGUUAGUUUGAUGUGUGGUGCACUGCUGCUAAAUAUUAAUUAUUCGAUGUGUUUAUAAUCUCUGUCUAACUGUUCAUUGUUCAAGUCUUCCUUUUAUAUAAGUCAUUGAAUUAUAACAUAAAUUACUAUAAUUUUUUUAAAAGAAAACUAUCCAAACUAAGGCAAGAAGUUAUUCAAUCUACAAUUUUAUGUACUUGUGGGUUUAGCUCGAACACUUUAAUAUAGUAUCCCGAUUGCUUAAAGAUCUUUACAGUUCAAUAUCUAGUGUGUGGCAGUAUAAGAAAAUAACUUCAACUAGUAGAAUAGUUUAAGAAUUGAAAAAGAAUACCAUGUAACAAUUUUAUGUUUAUGCAUAAACUUGAAUAAAUAAAUUUGCAUCGCAUAUGAUACGGUUCAUUAAAGAUAUUGGUAUAGCAUUUUUUCAUAGACCUUUUGACGUUUAAAUUAUAAUGUUUUUGAAAGAGGUUAAAUGAUUCAUCAUCUUAGAGGUGGAAAUAAAUAAUGUUAUGUUUUUUUUAAAAGUGCAUUAAGAAAACUCUCCCUUUAGAAAUAUAGACGAGUUUAGAAGUUUUGCUUGAGAAAAACAAAGGAUUGAUUUCAUUUUAGUUGAAUUGGCCUAUGAUGUUAGUAAAGUGGAUUUGUGGUGGCGGCCACCGGGCACGUGAUAAUCCACGUGGUUUGCGUGAAUAAUCCGGCGAGAGAACUUUUCAAUACUUAUAUUAUAAUUUAAGUUUUUUUUUUCCUUUUUAUGAAGAUUUAAAUUUUGUGCUUAUAAAUAAAUAACUUAUAAGUUUCACUUUCGGUGCAUUUGUCUCUUCUAGUUAGAGGCUAACUUUUGGUAAGACUUGCAAAAAAGUAAACUACUUUUUCAGCUUAAACUCAAACUCAAGAACAAAGAAUUUAUCUCAUUUUAGAUUAAUGUAUAUGUUUACCAAAUGAGUUUAACACUGAAAUAAUUAUUUUUAUUUUUCAAUGAUAGUAAAUUACAUGUUCUAUCGAUUGGAAUUUCAUUUUGCCAUUUAUGUUUUAGUUUGAGCUGUAGUUAUCAAAUGAGUUAACUGAUUAAAUGAUCAUAAAUGGAGAAAAAGAAAGAAAGAAUGUGAGUAUAUGACUUUUCAAAACGUGAUAUUGAUCACUCGUCAGAAAUGUAUACUACGUGAAAAAGGGGUUGUGUAAUAGUUUUACAAUUAUAUAUAUAUAUAUAUAUAUAUAUAUAUAUAUAGGUUUAGCUCUUAAGUCUUUCAAGGCUUAGAAACUUCUUUUGGAAAACUUAUCUUCAAAACGGAUGUGCCUUUCUUAUUGCUAAGAGUGUUACUAAUGACUGUAGACUACAAUCGUAUGUUGCGAGUGGUCAUCCUUCUUGGCUUGAAGGGGUACUCUUCGCAGAAGAAAGGGUUUGUCCUCUGCUUGAAUUUGAGUUUUUGGGUUGUAUGGUUCCGGGUGUGGAGUGUGUUCUUUUGUAAUGGCCCUUCUUUUGGUAGUAAGAGGCUUAGUGUAUAGGCUUGAUGAUUGUUGAGUUGUUGUUCUCACUUUCAGAUGUGUGACCUCUUGGGGUUUAUGAUGUGAAGUUCAACCCUUCUAUUAAUAUAAUUCCAGAUGACAAAAAAAAUAUAGGUGGGAGGCGUCAUAACUAUAUACGAGUGAUAUUGACUAAACUUGAAAAAUACCUUGAACUUUGUCAAAAGAAAAAUCUUGAUUAUUUGAUUUUAUUAUGUAUGAUAUAGGAAAACACACGUAUAUACACAUAACACAUGUAAUAAUCACAUUCACAUAUAGUUAUCUAUAUAUAUGAAUACGAGAGAGCCAGAGAGGGCUCUGGUUGUUCUUUUCUCGAGCGGUGCUUUUGCAAAGGAACCAAGUUGGGUUCAUUAAGCUUUGUGAAAACGUUUCGAGUUUUGUUUUCGAUUUUCAUAAGCUUGCCUUGAUCAUACCCCUGACUAUUGUUAGAUCAUCUAACAUCUAUAGUUUCAAGAGGUGCGUGUCACUUUCCACAUCGACACUUAUUGUCAAUUCGAUAAGGUCUACCACUUUCUUUUUACUUGUGGGUUUGACCCCUAGUUAUACAUCACUAGUUAAAUCGUAUAUCUAGCAAAUGAGUAUAACCUUCAAAAGUUAAUCCUCUUAUUUCGCGAUCCUGCUUUUCGAGAUGGGAAGUUGAGACUGAUAACUAAUGUUUUCAUAACAUUUUGAGUGACAAAUAUAUAUAUUUUUUUUCUUUAAUCAAUAAUCAUUAACAUGUUCAAAUUUUGACAUAUUGUGUUCGUCAAAAGAAUAGAUAUAUGGCCAGAGAUUCUUCAAUAUGACCUAGAAUCUCGGACAUUGGAAUGAUAUUUCAUACUAUUAUUAUUAAGGGAACGCGUAAUUAGAUUUUGUGGUCCUCCUUUGACAUUAGAAUGUCAAGCUGCCCAAAUCAAAUCCGUUGACCAAUUGGAUUAGAUUGUCUGAUAAAUUAUAAAUUACGGGAAAAUCAUCUAAUACUAUUGUUUAGCAAAAAACAAACAAACUAAUAUUUCGUUAUUCUAACCCAAAUACAUGCAUGCAUUAGGAAUUUAGGAUGCGUCUCAAUUAUUUUUUAUUUUAUUUAUUAAAAGACAAGUUUUCUGGUGAAGUUUGCAAAAGCAUUAAAUGUAGAAAGCUGCUCCUUCCAUGGGACAGCACGUAUUUAAUAAAAUAAGAUAAUUGAAUAAUAGAAACAAAAAAAAUUGAUUAUUAUAGUUUGGUGUCAGUGACAAAGACAAAAGAGUGUCGUCGUCUCUUCUAAUUUAUUAUCAUCAAAGCUAGUGAUUCUAAAUUAAAAUGCUUCUCUGUCGUCCUCUCUUGCUCUUAACUAAUUUCUCUUCUUUUCAGAAACUAAGAAUAAUUUGUAUUUUUGUAUUUUAGGUAGAUAUUUUAUUUUCUUUCUCUUUAAGGCAAACUUUUAAUCAGAAAAGGAAUCCUAAAAUACUACACAUGUACAUUUGUUAAUUGUUAUUGCUGUCAAAAUAAAAAAUAAAAUCAGUCUUGUUAUUAAUAUCGAAAUCACGUGAAAGAUAAUUGAAGAGAAAGUGCUAUUUUUAACAAAAAAAAGAAAGAGAAAGUGCUAUUAAAUCACACUUUUAUAGUAUAUGUAUAAAUACGAUAAAAGUCGAAAGCAAUAGUUGUACUUGUACAUAUUAGAAUACGAGAUUGUAAGAGUUAAUCAUUUAUAGACGAUAACUAAUUGGUAUAGGCGUAUAGUUAUUGAAUUUCUAAAUAUGUGAUUCCCGGCUUUAACUUUUAAGAACGUUACUUGAAUAUUGGUUUGGAAUUUUGUUGUGAUUUUUGAUGAACUUGUAAAACGUAAAAGAAGAAAACGAUAUUGAAACAAAUCGUCUUAAUGUUAGGGUUUUCUAUUAUUAAGUUUAUGAAUGAGUUAUUUGACCAAAAAAAAAGUGUAUGAAUGAUAAAUACAACUUGAAGGCAUUGUAUUUACUAGGUUGCUUAUAUAUAUAUGUCCCAAAUAUCCAAUAGGACACAUGAAUUUUUUUUUUAAUGGUAAAUUCUAUGUUCACUCGAAUAGGGGUUUUCAGUGGCAUACCUGAAGCAUAUUUUUAACCCCAAUAUAUAUAUGGUAAAAGAUCAUAUAAUUGGGGGAGGGGUAUUUUGGAAAGUUCAAACAAAAAAUUAAUGAUGACAUACAUUAUUCCACUAAAUUUUGUUAUAUAGACACUAAAACCAAAAUAUUUUAAUAUAUAUCUAAGUGCAUGCUUCAGAGUAGAAACACCACCACAAGUGCUUAAUAAUAUACGGGGCCAAAUGACACCCUUAAGCUCUUUCUUUGCCCAUGGUCCCCCUAGCUAACACUACAUUAUACAGUACAUGCAUUGAGAUCUUAAGUCAACUUAUUAUUAUAGUGUCAACCCUGACAUAUUAUAUACUUUAUUUGAAACAUCUAGAUGUAAGUAGGUUGUUUCAGAGAUGUUAUUGAAAGGAUACAUGAAUGAAAUGGUUGGAUUUACAUAUGACUUAUGUAUGUGCUUUAAUAGAUUCCAAAGUCUACGUACAUAAAACCAAAAAAGAGAGAGAAGGUCUACGUACAACGUACGUGUUGACUAGAAAGGAAAGGUUUAAAACCGUGUCUAAAGUAUGAGUAUAUUUUUUUUGUGAAAGUAUUUGAGUAUAUACUUUGAGAUAAAAUAAAACAUUUGUUAAAAAUAACUUAUAUUCUUCAAUGUUAAUUUCAAUCGAUUUUUGAUGUUUGCAUUUUUACUAUUUCGGAACUUUGUUAUAAGUCAACUUUUGUUGGAGUAGCUAAACUUUACUUCUGGAUAUCAAAAGCUAAUCUCAAUAAAUCAUCACAGCUCGUCAUGGAAAUAUAUAAUGCAUAAUUUUUCUUUUGUACCAAUAAAUUUUAACUACCGUCAUAUAUAAUACGAAAAAUGUUACGUAUUGGUAAUGUGUAUUACUCCAUUAUAUAAAAUAAAUUGUUACGUAUUGGGCCGUGUAAGUCGUGUUUGUAUUCAAAGAGAAUGUGUGGAGGAGAGAUGGAGAUAUGUAGUUUCAUGCAUGUACGCCAUGUAUAGUGAUAUGACGUCCAAAUCGAAUCGUGAAAACGAAGAAAAUCUUAGACUGGCUGGUGUAGUAGUUAAUUAAUAGAGUAAAAUAGAGAAUAGUACGAGUUAUUUUUCUCAAAUUUUAAACAAAAUUCAGUGUGGAACAAUGAAAUGUACGUAUUAAUCAAAAGUCGUACAAUAUUUAAAAUGACAUGUUCUUCCUCUUCAUCUCAAAGUUGUAAAAAUAAGUCUGUUCGUUUCGUCGCCGCAUGUAGUUGCGGUUGCGGCAGACGCAUAUCGAAGCUGUUCGUUUCACUACCGCAGAUAGAUGCGGUAAAACGCUGCGGCCGACGCAACGUUAUGCGGCGAAAAAAAUUAAACGCGGAUUAAAUUUAGCGUUAGAAUUAAAAAGCUGCGAUUAAUAUGCCAAAUGACAGAAAUACCCUUAAUAUAUUUAGAAAACAACGAUAAAACCUAACUCUAAAACCUAACACAUUCACGAUCUGAAAAUUUUCUUCUCUUUUACACAAUUUCGAUCUGAAAAAGUAAAGCUCAGCGAUUUCGAAUUAAACUCGGCGAUUUCGAAGUAAUGGGUUUUGUUUUAGAAGUUCUCUGGUUGACCCUGAAGAACAAGAGAUCUGUUCGCGAGACCAUUCAGGAAGAAGGGUUAUAUUCUACUCUCCACUUACCUCAUAACCUUCAAGGUCGGCGAUUACGUCAAUGUCAAGGUUAAUGGAGCUAUUCACAAGGGUAUUCCUCAUAAGUUCUACCAUAGUCGUAUUGGUCGUAUCUGAAAUCUCACUACGCGUGCCGUUGGUGUUGAAGUCAACAAACAGGUUUCGAUUACUCAAAAUUCUCAUCUGUUUGGAAGAGUUUUGAUUGUUGAAAUUAGGAUUUGAACGUUAUUUUGAUUCUUUGAUUUGGGGUUUAAUUCGUCUUUGUGUGAGCUAUCUGUUUUGAAUUUUGUGAUGUGUGAUUAGUAUUGGUUUGAAAGCUUCAAGCUUUUCUUCUUGGGUCCUUCUUUUGCUACUUGUAUAAUUUGCAAUCAAUCUACUAUGAUUCUUAGUGAUGUUUUCAUUUUGACUUUGAUGUUUAUCAUUUAGUUGAAUCUCUUGGAGAGCUAAUUUUGAGUUUUGGGUUGGGUUUUAGAUUAAGAACAGAAACAUAAGGAAGAGGAUACAUGUACGUGUGGAGCAUGUGCAACAGUCAAGGUGUGAUGAGGAGUUUAAUCUCUGGAAGAAGCAGAACGAUGUGCUUAAGGCUGCAACAGUCAAGGUGUGAUGAUGAGUUUAGUCUCAGGAAAAAGCAAAACGAUGUGUUUAAGGCUGCUGCUAAAGCUAAAUGUGAAACUAUUAGCACUAAGAGACAACCUAAAGGUCCUAAACCUUGUUUCAUGGUUGAAGGUAUGACCUUGGAGACUGUCACUCCCAUUCCCAAUGUUGUCAACGAUCUCAAAGGUGGCUAUUGAGUUGUUUCCAUUUUCUUCAUUCUCUUCUAAGAAUUUUUGCACUUGCUUUGUUCUUUUUAUGAUGUUUUUGUAUCAAACAAGACUGAAUUCUAUAUUGUACGAGUUCAGAUUUUGUUAGGAAAGAUGGUUUAUCCCAAUCCUUUACCUGUUCCAUUUGUAUUUAAAAUCGUUUCUGCAUUUUUCAGAAAACUGAUACUUUGGGAAAAGUUGAGACAUCUAAUCUCUUUCAGUGUUAGCAAUUUAUACCACACAAAAAUAAACAGAGAGAGCAAUCGAAACAAAAUCUCUUUGUAAAGUUGGGAAGUGCAGACAGACCUUUUAAUUGCAAACCUUUUAAUUCCUUUGCAGCUUCACACAAUUGCCUCCUCUUCAUUCAUUAGUUAAAUGUUUGAGUUUGCUAUUUUUGUUUUAACUGAGCUUAUGAUUUAUCACAAAAUUUUAUUGUUAUAAUUAUAUAUAUUUAACUAAAAAUUAUUACUCCUUACCAAAAAAAAACUAAAAACUAUUACUAGCUAAACAAAUACUUUUUAUUGAUGUAAAUAUAUUUAAAUUACAUUUUUUUAUAUUCAGAAUAUAACUAAAAAAGUAAAUAAAAGAAUUACAUGAAAAUUAUCGUAGCGGCGUCGAAACGAACAAAGAAACCUGCGGUUGCGGCAGCGGCUGCGGCAGCGUCUGCGGCAACAAAACGAACAACAACCUGCGGUAGUGUUUGCCGCCACCGCUACCGCAGCCGCUGCCGCAACCGCCAGCGUUAAUGAAACGAACAUGCUAAAUAUAUAUAUUUUUUUCCAAAAGUUAACGGUAAAUAACUCAAUAUAUAUAGAUAUAUAUAACUCGAUCACCUUACUUAUUUAUCUAAUAAAUUUAUAAACAUUACUCAAUAUCCUGAAAAAUUGAGUUAAACUAGUCAUGAACUAGUCUUUAACAGUAACGUAACGUAUAUAAGUAGAAGCACUCAAUUUUAAUUAGUUCUAUUGAAUUUGUUAUCUUCGUUCUAUCCAUUUUACACCAUUUAUCUUACUCGUUUUGUUUUGUCUUUUUAUAAAACUUACUCGGUUUUUUUGAUAAACCUAACUCCUUUGGUUAGUAGUUAAUUUCCUUCGUUUUGCUUUUCCAAUUCUAUGCAUAUUGUUUUAACCAUUUUAUUACUCCGUUUCCGUUUGUUUCACUACAAUUAUUUGGAGCUACAGUACUACAGUAGUAUAUAGUUCUAUGUUCAUAUCAAGAUUGUCUUCUUGGGAAACACUUGCCCUUUGACUGGAUUUGUUAUAUUAAAAAUUGUGCAAGCACGUGUUUGCUAAAAUUUAAAAUGAGAAGCUGUGAGCUAAAAGCUUCGCUGUUAGGUUCAUCAACUAGUCUGUCUGGUGCUUCAAAGGAAUGAUGACACAAGCAAUGAUGUAAUUGGCAAAAAGGUAGUUUUGUCGUUUAGUGCUUUUAAAUCGAGAGGCAGGGGAUAGAUCAGAGUGAUCCGGUAUGGGUCGCAGAUUUUGUUCGGUCCCGACAUGUUUUUAGUUCUAUUUAAAUACUUUAUAAGUAAAAAUAAUUCUAUUGUCUCGUCUCUAUUAUUUACAUAAAUUGUAUGUACAUUAAUUGUAAGGGAAGUAUGUAUAUAACUAUAAAUCUAAAAAUCUUAGAUUAAUAAAUAAUACAUCAAAAUGCCUAACUUACAUAUAUGUAUUUAUUUAUUUCUAUAAUGAAUACAGUUUUUAAUUAAGAAGUGAAAAUGUCUCGUCACACUUUUCAAAUAGGUCAUUUGGAGAUAUAUCACAUAUCGAACGAAUCCAUGAUCCCUCCAGGCUUCAUCCAGUUCACUUUGACCUCACUCACUCUUCUUCUUUCUUUCAGAAAAUGAUUUAUAUAACUUUUCUUCUUCUUUUAAACAUAUAUAUUUAACAAUUUUUUAUAAUAAUUUCUAUAGAAUUCUUUUAAUAUAUAUAUCCACAAAUCCACAUAGUUUUGAAUAAUCUUUAGAUAAACUAGUCCUCUCCUUCGAUGAAUACUUCACGCGUACUAGUUUUUUUUCUUCAUGAAUACUUGUCGUUGUGAUGCAGCAUUUUGAAACAUGAAUAUCUUAAAGCCUUUUGCCCAAAAAAAAAAAGAAUAUCUUAAUGCCUAAUACUUGGAUUACGUAUUUAUGUACCAGUAUCGCGAUCAAAACAAUCACCUUUUAUUCAGUCAAAUUAAACAUAAUUUAUGAUUCAUAUAUCCUCAAAAACAUAUUACAAAAUUACCAGGUAUCUUUGUAUGCUAUACACCACUAUUCUAAAUUUAAAAAUUAAUAUAGAGUAAUAUAUACUAUUAAGUUUUAAAAAUCGAGAUUCAUAUUAAUAUAAAACAUCUUACUAAAACAAUGAUCAAAGUUUUAUUCAUAUGCUCAAUAACAUUUUUAUGAUUAAAUUAAGCAUACGUCGAGCAUCAUUAGUUAGGUUCCAAGUACAAAAGCCCAUUUAGAUUAUUUUAGCCCGUUUAAGGCCCAAUAUGUUCUGCUUCACCUCUUGCUUAGGAGCCGUUGCCGACUUCUGGGAGCGACGCCGACGACGAAAGGGUAAACACGCCGCCGUUGAUUCAGCCGGAGAAUCAAUGGAAAGUGAAGCAAUUCAAGAGGAUCUUCAGAAUUUAGACGUCGAGUUAAAGGAUGUUCAAGGUUAAAGCAUUUAGAUUCUUCGUUUUGUUUUUCUUCUUCGAAUUUGUGUUUCGGUUGCUUUUGGUGUAUAUAUAACUUUAGAAAAUCAUUCAAAGUCUCCAUUUUUUCUGCUUUAUGUAAUAUACAUUGAGGUUUUAGGUUAAUUUUAGACUUCAUAGCCAUAGAUAAUUGUCUCUGAUCCUUGAUGGUGUUAGGAACCAGAAUGGGUUAAGUGAAAGUUUUAGUUUUUUUGAAUUCGUGUUGAAUCUGUUGAUUGAAAUCUCUUUGCAGGUCAGAUAAGUGCUUUGAUUGAGCAUCAAGAUAGGUUAUACGAGAGAAAGUCUGAGUUAAAGACAUUGUUAAAAGCAUUAGCAGCAUCAGGAAGUCCUGUUGCAUCAUCUGGUGGCUCUAGUGCUAUAGAGAAUUGGUCUGAGACAUUUGAGUGGGAUUCUCGUGCUGACGAUGUUAGGUUUAACGUUUUUGGUAUAUCCAAGUAUAGGGCUAACCAGAAGGAAGUAAGUGACUUUCUGUAUUUUCUGAUCCUAAAUAUGAUUCUUGUGUCCGCGUUUGCUAGAAAUUCGUUUGAUGUUCCAUUUGUUGAUUCUUUGAAUGAUAUGUCAAGAUUAUUAACGCUAUAAUGACGGGAAGAGAUGUCCUGGUGAUCAUGGCAGCAGGUGGUGGGAAGAGUCUUUGCUAUCAACUUCCAGCUAUGCUUCGUGGUGGGACAACUCUUGUUGUCAGUCCUCUACUUUCACUGAUUCAGGAUCAGGUUAGUACUAAACUUAUUGAAAAUAGUCUGUGUAGGCAACCUAUUUGCAGAAUGAUUAACACUUGAUCGUUAGAUAUUCUUUGAUUAGUAUGUGUGUUAUGACCAAUUAUUGCUUAUGAUUGUUCAGGUUAUGGGUUUGGCUGCUCUAGGAAUCUCAGCCUACAUGCUGACUUCUACUUCUGGCAAGGAAAAUGAGAAAUUUGUGUACAAGGCACUUGAAAAGGGUGAAGAUGACCUCAAGAUACUUUAUGUAACACCCGAGAAGGUAUCAAAGAGCAAAAGAUUCAUGUCGAAGCUUGAAAAGUGUCACAAUGCUGGCCGCCUCUCUCUUAUAUCAAUUGAUGUAAGUCUCUCCUAGUUUUAGUUUCUUACUCGGAAAUUGUGCUCUGCCACCUAUCUUCUCACUCUCUGGCUUUAGUUUAUUUGGAUAUAUCCGCACCGUUAAACAGAAAACCUACUUUAUGAAUGAUCAAUUUCCUAUGUUUGGUUUCUUUGCAGGAGGCUCAUUGUUGUAGUCAGUGGGGUCAUGAUUUUCGCCCUGAUUACAAGAACUUAAGCAUUCUGAAAACCCAGUUUCCCAAAGUUCCCAUGGUGGCUUUAACUGUAUGUUUUUGUUUUCAUUUAUGGGAUACCCUGUGAGCUUAAAUUAGACAGCACUAGGGAGCUUGCUUCACCUUACUGUGCUUAUCAUAAGGACCAAUUUUCUUCUGAUUUGAGCUCGUUGAUCUUACGUACUCGCUAGUAUUGUUUAGUUAUUCUGCUUCAGUGGGUGCAGAAUGUCAAAUUCUAUAACAAUCUUUUAAAUAUUUUGUGGAAGGUUGAAUAUUUCAUUUUUUCCUAAUUCUUUAUGUCUCUAUUGCAGGCAACUGCUACACAGAAAGUUCAAAAUGAUCUGAUAGAGAUGCUGCAUAUUCCUAAAUGCGUCAAAUUUGUGAGCAGUGUUAACAGGCCAAAUCUCUUUUACUCGGUACGCUUUAGUAAUGAUUUUUAUUAGUAUACUUUUCUCAUGCUGUAGACAGUUUGUAGGCUUGAACAUGAACCAGUAAAUUGUCUUGCAGGUCCGAGAAAAGUCGGCAGUUGGUAAAUUAGUGGUUGAUGAAAUUGCAGAAUUCAUACGGGAAUCAUACUCUAACAAUGAAUCUGGGAUAGUCUAUUGUUUCUCCCGGAAGGAGUGUGAACAGGUUUGUAACUAAACUGACCAUCAUAUUCUCAUUGUGCACAUUUCAUUUCUGAUCAUAAUAUUUUCUAUUGAACCUUGGAUUGGGGGAAAAAAGCUUACAUAUUCUGCCUUACAUGCAAUGGUGAUAGAUUGCAGGUGAUUUACGAGAGCGAGGGAUUUCUGCUGAUUAUUACCACGCAGACAUGGAUGCAAAUAUGCGCGAAAAAGUUCAUAUGCGGUAAGCUAAUAUUUCUUAAAACAUGUAGUCCGUGGUGCUUACUUGAACCCGAGAUUCAAAAAUCCAGCUCUGAUGCAGCUCGACUCUGCUCUUGAUGAUCUUGUUAUUGAUGUGCAAUUUAAGCAUUGCCUGACUUUUUGCUGUGUCAUGUUCACAGAUGGAGCAAGAACAAGUUGCAGGUCAUUGUUGGAACAGUACGUAUAUUCUCUGUUAUCAUUCCAUUAUUUAGUGGUACAAGGAUCUACGUUAAUAAACUCUAAUUAGUAAAAUAAUUGCUUUGCAGGUUGCGUUUGGUAUGGGAAUCAACAAGCCUGAUGGUUAGUACUUAAGUAGUGCUAAUUUUUGUUUAGUUGAUAUUUGAUAUACCUUCACUUUCAGUUUUCCUUAGUGCAGAUUUCUUUCUCUUGGAAGCUAUUAUUCUUCCAGUUACAUAAUACUAGUAGCUACUGAUUUCUUAAAAUCAUUAUAUUUCUAAAAACCACCAUCCUUCGCGUUUUAUUAAUCACCAUUCUUACUAUCUUCUCUAACUGAUACAUGGGGCAUUGCUGUAGUCAGGUUUGUCAUCCACCACAGUUUGAGCAAAUCAAUGGAGACUUACUACCAGGUUCCAGUCUCUUGUCCACUAAAACUCGAUAUAGUUAUAAGGCUGCCUCUUAUAACUUAACCAUAAUAUUGUAGGAGAGUGGCCGUGCCGGUCGUGAUGGCCUCCCAUCCGAAUGUAUCCUCUUUUUUCGUUCGGCUGAUGUUCCCAGGCAGGUAUGCUGCAAUGUUACUGUACCCUGGUUAUCUGUCCUGUGUAUAUAUCUAUAUAUUUCUUAGAUUUAGUUGAUGCUUUCCUUUUCUCCUCAACAGAGUUCCAUGGUCUUCUACGAGUAUUCUGGUCUCCAAAAUCUCUACGAUAUAGUAAGAUACUGUCAGGUACGCUGAUUCAUUUCCAUUUCCUGAAGCAUUAUCGUUAUUGCACCUGUAAAUAUCUGGAGCAAGCUGUGGCAAUCAGCACCAACUUCCGAGAGAAUUGUGUACCUUGCUAAGGCUUCUUUAGACUGACUAAAUUGUUUUACUCUCUAUCUUGUCACGUUAAAGAAUCAUGAUCUUGAAAUAUUCUAAAUUGUACGCUAUCUUAUGAAACCUUGGUUUCUGAACUACCUUCUUGCAGUCUAAAACAAAAUGUCGUCGAAGCGCAUUUUUCCGUCAUUUUGGGGAACCAUCACAAGAUUGCAAUGGUAUUCUUGUUUACAGUUAGUUGUCCACUACUGAUAGAUUUUGUACUAGGUCUAUUGAUUCUAGAUUUUCUGAUGUGCUGAUCGUUUGGUAAGGAAUGUGUGACAACUGUGCCUUGUCAAGUGAGGUCAAGGAAGUUGAUGUAUCGGGUACGUCCCUACAUUCGCUUGUUGUUUUUUUGAAAUACAUUCCCUUGCAAUUUGUUUGGAAUCAGCUUGAAAGUUUCAUCUUCUGCCAAAACAAUUUCAGCUUAUUUUGUUUAAAGGACUUACAGUUCAUUUCACUUUCUCAUCAACUAUCAGAGUAUCAGCCAUAUGUCGAUAAUAUCAUAAUUAUUUUCGGUGUCAUGAUUUUUGCAGACCUGUCUAAGCUCGUGGUUUCUAUGGUGCAAGAAACGCAAGCCAAGGAUCAAAGAGUAACGAUGUUACAGUUGGGUGACAAACUCAGAAAUAAGCACAAGGAUCUAAGUUAGUCGUGUUUUUUUCUUCAUUUCCAUUGGUGUCAACUGCAUUAAAAUUUUUGUUGUUAAUUUUUACCUCUGUGGUUGACUUUAGUUGCUGAGUUAAAGAGAGACGAGGUAGAACAUCUCGUGAUAAAACUGAUUGUUGACUCGGUAUUGGUAAGAUCAUUGUCCAUGUUUAUAGUUCUCUGUUACAAUCUGACACGUGAUAAACCCAGCUCAAGAUAAUAGCAUGUCAGACAAAAACUCUAGUAUCUAGCAAUGCCUUAUAAUCUCUGUGAUUGUGCCAUUAGUCUCUUUAGGCUGUAAAUGAGUUUGUAUUUUUUGCUGCAGAAAGAAGAAUUUCAGCACACACCAUAUUCGACAAACGCUUAUGUAACAAUGGGACCAUUGGCCAACCAAUUGUUGCAAGGUAAGGAGAAAAGAAAUACCUUCUCUUCACGAUCAAAUGAACACUAUGUAGGCUUCGGGAUAUGGAAUACCCUUUUUUCUCGGUUUGGACGAAGUCAAAUCAAAAGAAGUCAUAGAAGCAGUAAAUAUUAGAAGCAUCAUUUAUCGGUUUAGUGAUGGACAAAACUCUGAAAACAAAAAAUACCUCCUUGUAUUCUGGAACAGGAAGAAAGACAAUCAAAAUGGAAACCUCUAGCAGGCAAACCAAGAAAUUGAAAAGAAGUAUUACAUUUUCCGGGUUGGAACUCAAGCUCGACGAGCUACGGAAAGAGAUAUCUGCAGCUGAUGGAAGCAUACUCCCUCACACAGUCCUCUCAACCCAGCAGAUUGGCUCGAUAAGUUCCCAAAAACCAGUUUCAUUACAAGAGGCGAGUUUGUGCUAAUAAAAUUGGGUUUCAUUAUUAUAUGUCUAUAGGCUUUCCUUUAAUCUUUAUUUGGUUGGAUUUGCAGUUGGAGAGUAUUAUAGGAAAAUUGAAAACAGAAAAGUAUGGAGACAGGAUUCUAGAAGAAGUGAUGAGACACGAAGCAGUCUCUGAACAACUUGUUGAAGAUCCAACAAAGGAAGAGACAUGUAAAAGCAGAUUAAGAAAGAGAGCUAAGACACAGAAGGAUGUUGUAUUGGUAGAGAGCAGCGGAGAAGAAGAAGCUUGAUGGAUCAAUUAUCUUCUAAUCCAAUCAUCGUAGCUGUCAAGGUUCCACAUUUACACUAUUCUUAUGUCAGAUUUUAACCAAUUCUAAUUAAGAAAUUCCUGUACUACCAUUUUCUGCAUAAGCUUCAUUGUCUCUAAUCAAGAAAUCAUCAUCAACAUGAAUAGGAACAAGUGCAAUAAAAGAAACAUAGGGAAACCUCAAUGAGAACAAGUCUCUUGAUGUUCUACACCAAAGAGUAAGAGGACUCUGUUUUCAAAACUAAAACUAAAAACAAACAGACUAGAACAUCAAUUAGAUCCAAACUCUUAACUGCCUCAAGUCAUCAAACAACAUCAUCUUAAGAAUUCCAGCAGAGCCUCCAUGUCUGCGCACUUUUGCUUCAUGUCUUUCAACUCUUCCUCAAUAUCUUGCACCCGAGUGUCUCCAUGUCUGCGCACUUUUGCACUUUUGCUUUAUAAGUAAACACGUUCGGAAAACGUAGGGUCAAUUUUGCUUUAAAAGCAUCAAAUAGGUUUGAAUGAUAACGAGAACUCGAGGAAUGGGAAACGCUUUGGCUUCUCAUAGCUUAUUGGUGGGCUGAUUCUUUAUUGAUACUUACACUAACGUAUUAAUUGAGACACUAACUACAUUUUUAAAUUCCUUUUCCAUCAAGAAACAUAGUGAAAUUAUAAAAACUUAGGUAACAUCAAUGACAAUAAUUCUCUUUUACUUUUCCAAGAUUAAACGACAUUCACCCAAUAAGACCCAAACUCCUAACUUGUUUUAAUAACUCAAGUCAUCAAACAACAUUCAUCGUAAGAAGUCUAGAAGAGCCGUCAUGUCUUUCAACUCUUCCUCAAUAUCUUGCACCCGAGUCUCACCAACCUCUUUCAGUUUCUUCUCCAAUCAAUCCAACUUGAACCCAGCUUUUGUCAAACAAAUUAGUGUAGAAUACGCGUUGGCAAGAUCAUCAAUGGAGAGUUCCUCAGGGGACUGACAGUGACACAGAAUCUCAGUCAAGCUUAGUAGACUAUUCAAGGAUGUUGUUCUCAGAUGUGGGUUCUUUGGACGGAAUUUCGAUGCAAUGUCUGGGUGCUUUUCAAACAAACUCUUCACAGAUUCUACCUACAAGUGAAAAAUGGACGAAUAAAGUAAAACUAUAUCAGAUAGGAGUUCUUGGUGACCUGAAAACAAAUCCAAAAACCAUAUAUGCAGCUUGAAUAGUGAGCAACUCGUACGAUAUGGAUUUAAAAAUUCAUUUUAUACCUGUGAAGGAAGAACUUGAAACCCAUUGACAUCGAUGCUUUCCAUCACUAAUGAAGUUUCCACUAACACAUCUGAUUUGCGAACAACUUCAAGAACACCAACCUCGGCAACAAUCUUGACUUCUCCAUUCACCAUAAACCCGCCAUUUACGUCAAGAAGUUCGUUAAGGGGAAGCAUUGAUCGGAAACCACAGCUGGGAAGCUUCUGAUCAAACCAGGGUUGCCCUACUAUAAGGUCAUAAUCAACAUACUAACUGCUAAUCAUAUUGCUUAAUCGUCCAUGUUAUCCUCUUUUCAUAUUGCUUCUCCAUUGAUCUUGAUGAGAGACUACUCACAACCAAACUACCAGAACACAGUGAAAAAAUGAAGAACAAGAGUUUUGCUGAAUAAAUCCUUUUAUUGAUUUCACUCGAUUGAAAUACAGAGGAUACAUGGUGCUUAUACUAAUACUACUUCAAGAACAUUCUGGAACCUUUCCUCCUAAUGAUGGGAUCUGUUUACACUUGUCUUGCAUCUAGCCACUAUCUUCUGAAGGGAUAUGAUCAAACCGGUUUGAUAGUACGAUCGUCGGAGAGCCAGCUGGCAUUGGUAUCUUGACGCUCUCCAUAUUUUUGUCUCUUUGUGUUGCGCAGAGGAGUUAGCUCUCUUCUUUUUGCUCCUUUGUCGUUUGUGUUUGUGAGAACAACUUUCCACAUUAUAUGGGCCAUUAACAUACUAAGCCCACUUAACAAUUGUUUUUGGUGAUUUAGCUAAAAGAUGGAACAAACAAAGAAGAAGAGGAAGAAGCAAGUGAGCAAGGAAGGACAAGAAAAGAACAAAGUUGUGUUGUGUUGGUUAAUGGCUAGCUAAACAAAGUUAAUGGCUAAGUCAAGAAGCAAUGAGUCCCUUAGUUUAACUAUCGAAAUAAGAAAGAGUGUCUUGAUGGUUAAUGUCUAGCUAAACAAAGUGUUAAAAGUUGUUGGUGUUAAAAGUGAUGUCUAGUAGUAGUAGUUGAGCUAGAGUCUUAAGUGUGUAUGUGCGUGUGUAUUAAGUAGAAGAAAAUUCUAUAAGUAUGUUUGUAUGAUGUUAUGUAAAAAUCAUCCAAGUGAUCAAUAUUAAAAUGUAGCCUUUAUGUUCCAUACGUUUUUUGUGCUUCAUCAAACAAGUAGACACAAAACAUAAUGUUAGGUGAUUUCUGUACUUUAUUUGACAUGAUUGUUUGAUUACUAAUUAUCCGCUGCAUAAACAUAUCAUUACUGUCUCAAAUCAUCUUCAUAUGCAUCAUCAGCAUGAAUUGAAGUACUCAUUUGUGUGCUAACCAACUGUCACAGUUCAGAUUUAAGGACACUAACACGUUUUUUUUAUUACACAAGUCUCUUGAUCUUCUACUCAAAGAUUAAGAGGACAUUGUUCUCAAAACUAAAACGAAAGAGAAACAUCCCAGAACACCAAUUAGAUCCAAAGCUUUAACAGACUAUAAUCUACUCAAGUCAUCCUCAUCGUCAGAAACCCAGCAGAUAUUUUGUAAAAACAACAGUCAAACAACAAAUUUAAGGACAAAACUAUAUAAAAAAGCUUGAUAUGACUCUUUAUUGAUAAGGGCACAUACGUAUCAUCAGCACUGAUUGAGACAGGAAAGACAUUUUUAAAUUCCUUUUCCAUCAAGAAACAGUGUGAAAAUAAAGAAAAUUAGGGCAACAUAAAUAACAAGUCUCUUUUACUUAUCCAAGAUUAAGAGGAUUCUAUUCCAAAACUAAAACGAAAACAAAAGAGACCAAAACACCAUUCAUAGCAACUCAAGUCAUCAAACAACAUUCAUAGUAAGAACUCCAGAAGAGCCUCCAUGUCUACACACUUAUGCUUCAUCUCUACGCACUUUUGCUUUAUGUCUUUCAACUCUUCCUCAAUUUCUUGAAUACGAGUCUCACCAACAUCUUUCAGGUCCUUCUCCAACCAAUCUAACUUAAACCCGGCUUUUGUCACAUAAGAGAGCGUAGAAUAUGCGUUGGCCAAAUCAUCAUUGGAAAUGUUCUCAGGGGACUGGCUCAGAAUCUCAGUCAAGGUUAGUAGGCUAUUCAAGUAUGUUAUUCUCAUAUGUGGGUUCUUCAGAUGGAGUUUUGAUUCGAUAUCUGGGUGCUUUUCAAACAGACUCUUCACAAAUUCUACCUGAAAAUAUCGUAUAUAUAAAGUAAGCAUAUCAGAUAGCAACUUUUGGUGACCUGAAAACAGAUCCACCAACCAUAGUGAGCGGCUCUUAGGAUAUGUAUUUAAGAAUGAUUUCUCUUACCUGUGAAGGAAGAACUUGAAACCCAUUGACAUACAUGCUUUCCAUCACUAAUGAAGUUUCCUCUAACACAUCUGAUUUGCCAACAACUUCAAGAACACCAACCUCAGCAACAAUCUUGACUUCUCCAUUCACCAUAAACCCACCAUUUUUGUCAAGAAGUUUGGUAAGGGGAACCAUUGCUAGGGAACCCCGGUUGGGAUACUGCUGAUCAAACCAGGGUUGUCCUACUGUUUUGUCACAAAACAUACUAACUACUUCAGUCAAAACAAGAAUUUCACAACACAUACAUUGAAUCUCACUGCAACACGUCCUACGUCCUAUAAGUCCAUGACAAGUGGAACCAUAAAGUGUUUUCCUUUGUCUGCCUUAGAAACAUAAUCAAGCAAAUGUAGAAAGAAUCACCUAUCUUUUUGGAGAGUUUCUCCGAAGUUUGAUUAACAACAGUUAGGCGAUACUUUGUGUGUCUUUUCCAUCCAUCAGGCAAAGAUUUGGAAUCAGCAACAUCAAGAAACAGAGACAAACUUUUAGUUUCAUGAUCCACACAUCCCUUGGGAUAGGCCAGAAGACGCGUGCGAGUAAAAACCCAAAACCAGUAAAGCAAAGGAACAAUAUCACGUAAACCUAAAAUAAACGAAACGUUGGAGAACACGUUUUCUUACCAUUUGGAGUCACCAACUACGAAAUUAUCAGAAUAAAUAGAAUCAAAAUCGGAUUAGUUUCGGUUAAAUUAUGGGUAAGUCAAACCGGAUGUAUAAUUAUCGGUUAACUGGUCGGUUCAAUUGGAGGCGUAGUUUUAAGAACAAAUCCGAAAGUACAUGUAGUUUUAUCGAGAUUAAAAUUGUUUGGGAUUGUGACACGUUUAGACACUUUUUGAUAAUAUUAUUACUUUUAAGACACUUAUGAGGGAGUGGUCACUUUGCCAUCUUUUUGAGAGAUAAUUGGACCAAUUUACCCCUGAAGUAGUGAUUACGCAAUAAUUUUAAACUCAUUAUUGUUGAGAUCGUUUGGGUGAGAAAUUAUCCUCUUUUUAUCAUCUCUCUUCCAUAUUCUUUUUUUUCCAUCAUUUUCAGUUCUCUCUUUCAAAAUCAAUGUCGUUCUCUAUAAUUCUUACAAAAUCAUGGUCGUUCCCAUUAACUUUCUCUCCUUUCCAUAAGAAGUCACCAAUCUUCAUUAUAUCAUGUAUAAUCUCCUCAUAAACUUUCGAUUUAUCGUCUCCUCAUAAUCUCUUCAAGAAGUUCGGUAAGGGGAAGCAUUGCUGGUGAACCCCAGUAGCGAGACUUCUGAUCAAACCAGCAUGGUGUUACUACUGUAAAGUCACGAAACAUAAAACUUAAGUCAAAACAAGAAUUGCACAACUCAUAAGGACUUAAGUUUUUAGUCCUAUGAGUCCAUGAAAAGUAGAACCAUAAAAUAUGUACUUUCCUUUGACUAAAAGUGAGAAAAGUGUCUAAUGCUUCUGAGUUCUAAAAUUCGUUAUCAACUCUUUUAAAGUUUUUUCCUCAGAUUUCGUUCCUGUUUUUUCUUUCCCCAAGUCUAAUAAAAUACCACUUAUUCACAUCAAUAAUGUUAGGUUAUUAAUGUAUUAGGCGAUUUGUGUAGUUUAAUCAAAGAAAACGUAGAACAACAGACUUCUUUAUCUAUUUUGUUCAGUUCUCUUUGGCUUGCUCAAUCUAUCUUCAACUUUAGCAUAUGAAGUAUUGAAUGCACGACUAAUAUAUAGCAUGAAAAAAUGCAGCAUCGGCUCUUCAUAACACACAUGUUAAACUUGCACGUGAAAUUGCUCUAUGUAAUUAUACAAAAACACAAAUUAUUUUAUGAGUCUCUCAAAGUCCUAAAACCACCCAACACAAAUAGAAGCAAUAAUGUGUCCUGUAGUUUCUCCACAAGGCCAGGUCAUUGUGUUUGCUUCCUUAUAGAGAAGAAUUACUGAUUAUUUCUGUAUAAGCAUCACUACUGUCUCGUAUCAUCUUCGCAUCAUCAACAUAAGUUAAUUUGACUACCUUUGUGUGCCAGUGGUCACAGCAGUUUAGAAUGAAGAAUACCAACAACAUUUAUUUAACUAAUUCCAUCAAGAAACAAACUAAAGUGCAAUAAAAAAGACGUAGGGAAACCUCAAUGACAACACAAGUCUCUUGAUCUUCUACUCGAAGAUUAAAGGACAUUGUUCUCAAAACCAAAACGAAAAACAAACAGACCAGAACACCAAUUAGAUAUAAACUCUUAACGGACUAAAGUCGAUUCAAGUCAUCCUCAUCGUCAGAACUCCAGCUAAAACUUUUCCUUCAAGUCCGUCAAGUCCUUCCACUCUUCAUCAAUUUCUUGCACCCGAGCCUCACAAACCUCUUUCAGUUUCUUCUCCAGCCAAUCCAACUUAAACCCCGCUUUUUUCAAACAAGUUAGUGUAGAAUACGCGUUAGCCAUAUCACCAGUGGAGAGUUCCUCAGAGGACUCGCACAGGAUCUCAGUCAAACAUAGUAGGUCAUUCAAGUAUGUUGUUCUCAUAAGUGGGUUCUUGGAACGAAAUUCUGAUACGAUGUCUGGGUGCUUCUCAAAGAGAUUGUUCACAGAUUCUACCUGCAAGGGAAACAUGGACGAACCUUCUCAGAUAGCAUUUUUUCGAGACCUGAACCAUACCCACAAACCAAAUAUGCAGCUUGUACAAGAAAGUAAAGUUAUAUAGUUACAGGUACUUUUCUUACCUGUGAAGGAAGAACUUGAAACCCAUUGAUAUCGAUGCUUUCAUGAACUAAUAAAGUUUCCUCUAACACAUCUGAUUUGCCAACGACUUCAAGAACACCUACCUCGACAACAAUCUUGACAUCACCAUUCACCAGAAACCCACCAUUUUUGUCAAGAAGUUUGGAAAGGGGAAGCAUUGUUUGGAAACCAGAGAUAUGAAAGUUUUUAUAAAACCAGCCUUGUAUUACUGUAAAGUCACGAAACAUAGAACUUUAGUCAAAACCAGUUUGCACAACGCAUACAUAGAAUCUCACUAUACAACACAAGUCCCAUAUGAGUCCAUGACAAGCUGAACCAUAAAAUAUGCACUUUCUUUUGUCCACCUUGGAAACAUAAACUAGCAAAUGUAGAAAGAAUCACCUUCCUGUUCGGAAAGUUUCUCCGACAUUUGAUUAACAACAGUUAAGCGAUAUUUGAUGUGUCUUUUCCAACCAUUAGGCAAAGAUUGGAAAUCCGCAACAUUCAGAUACAGUGACAAACAUUUAUUAGUACUUUCACCAUUUCCCUUGGGAUAGGCCACAAGAUGCCUGCAACCAUAAACCAAAAACCAAUAAGCAAAGGGUGAUGUCAGGUAAACCUAAAAUGAAAUGUAAACUUACAAAACAUUAGAGAACAAGUUUUUACCAUUUGGAGUCACCAACUACGAAAAUAUCAGAAUCAAUUGCUUGAGAUUGCACAAAGGAGAAAUUCUUAAUCGUCCAUGUUAUCUUCUUUUCAUAUUGAUCUUCCAUUGUUCUUGAUGAAGACUCCUCACAAGUCACAACCAAACGUCCAGAAAAUAAUCCUAAGAAAAGAACUAGAAGAAGAUGAAAAGAGAAUAAAUCCGAGAACCGAGUGGCAUGUACAAAACUUUAUAAUAUCACACAACAACUUUUAUAAGUAGAGUCACUUCACUGUCAAAUAGGUUUGAAUGUGAAUCGUGUUGAUUACGAAAACUUGAGAAUUGUGAAAACGCUUCGGCUCCUGAUAGCUCAUUGGUGGGCUAAUAGUCCCAAGUAAAUCAUUUUCAAAAACACUUGACUUUCACCAACAAAACAUUCACUAACACCGUUUUAGAUGACUUAUACUGAGAGAUUGUUAAGUGAUGCGAGUUCCGACGUUCUAAAUGUUUUCUCCCCAAAUUUCCUUCCUUUAUUUUUUUAAACCAAAUCUGAUAAAAUUAUGUUAUUAACCUCAUAGAUCACAUAAUCAGGCUAAUGGCCAAUACAUUUAAUAACGUUGGGCGAUUUAUUUACUUUAAAUUCUACAAAUGUUUCACCUUCUUUAUUCCUUUUGUCAUUUCUCUUUGGUUUGACUUUGGCAUCUAAAGUGUUGAAACUAACGACUAACUAGUAACAUAAGCAAAUGCGAUCAGCCUCUUGUUCUUCAUGACAUGAUAUUUUGUUAUAAAGUGAGAGAAAACUUGUAUGUCAAAUUUGGGAAUAAUCACUGUAACAUAGACAUACGUUUUGCAACAGGAAUAAAGUCGCUGCUACACCCAACAGUGACCCAAGAUUAAGAGGACAAAGUUCUCAGAACUAAAACGAAAAACAAACAGACCAGACACCAAUUAGAUCCAAACAGCUAAGUCUUAACAGAUCGACUCAGGUCAUCCUCAUCGUCAGAACUCCAGCAUAAACUCUCCUUCAAGUCCUUCAAAUUUUGUUCAAGUUGUUGCAUCCGAGUCUUACCAACCUCUUUCAGUUUCUUUUCCAACCAAUCCAACUUAAAACCGGCUUUUGUCACACAAGUUAGAGUACAGUGCGCAUUGGCGAGAUCAACAUUGGAGAGUUUAUGAGGGGACUGGCACAGAAGCUCAGUCAAGCAUAGUAGGCUAUUCAAGUAUGUAGUUCUUAGAUGAGUGUUUUCCAGACGGAAGUUUGAUGCAAUGUCUGGGUGAUUUUUGAAGAGAUUGUUCACAGAUUCUACCUGCAAGUGAAACAUGGACUAAUAAGUAGUUUAACCAUAUCAGAUAGGAGUUUUUCGAGACCUGAAAACAUACACACUAAACCAUAUAUGCAGCUUGUGCAAGGAAGUGGAUUAUAUAGUUACAAGUACUUUUCUUACCUGUGAAGGAAGAACUUGAAACCCAUUGACAUUGAUGCCUCCAUUAACUAACAAAGUUUCCUCUAACACAUCUGACUUGCCAACAACUUCAAGAACACCAACCUCGGCAACAAUCUUGACUUGGCCACUAACCAAAAACCCACCAUAAAGUUCUGUAAGUGGAAGCAUUACUUGGGAACCGAAGGUAAGAGACCUCGGGUAAAACCCGCCCCGUGCUACUGUAAAGUCACGAAACUUAGAAAUUUAGUUAAAACAAGGAUUGCACAACACAUACAUAGGAUCUCACUACAACACAAGUCCUAUGAGUCCAUGACAAGUAGAACCAUAAAAUAUUGACUUUCCUUUGUCCGCCUAAAUUAGAAACAUAAUCUACCAAAGGUAGAAAAAAGUUGAAAAACUCACCUUCCUGUUUGGAGAGUUUCUCCGACAUUUGAUUAACAACAGUAAGACGAUAUAUGAUGUGUCUUUUCCAACCAGAAGGCAAAUCAUCAGGAUCAGGAACACCAAGAAACAGAGACAAACAUUUAUUAAUGCUAUCACCAUAUCCCUUGGGAUAGGCCAGAAGAUGCCUACAAGCAUAAACCAAAAACCAAUAAGCAAAGGGUAAUAUCAAGUAAACCUAAAAUGAAACGCAAACAUUAGCAAACAUAAGAGAACAAGUUUUUACCAUUUGGUGUCCCCAACUACAAAAAUAUCAAAAUAAAUUGCAUGAGAUUGCAAAGAGGAGAAAUUCUUAAUCGUCCAUGUUAUCCUCUUUUCAUAUUGGUCUGCCAUUGAUCUUAAUGAAGUCUCCUUGCAACCAAACCAAAACAGAAAUACCAGAGGAUGAAGAGAGACUAAAUCCUAGAACCGAGUGUCACACUACCAUACUUGAUAGAGAAAAUUAUCACACAACAACUUUUAUAAGUAAACAGAAUCGAGAAAACGCAGAGUCACUCACUUUAAAAGCAUAUAAUACGUGUUUGAAUGUGACUCGCGUUGAUUACGAAAACUUGAGGAAUGUGAAAACGCUUCGGCUCUUCAUAGCUCAUUGUUGGGCUGAUAGUCCCAAGAAAAAGAACAUUUAACUUUCCCUUGUUCAUUUUCAAAACAAAGCAUUCAUUAACACCGUUUUACAUGAUAUUUACCUCUUAGAUGGCCAAUAAAUUAAAUAAUGUUAGGUUAUAUUAGGCGUUUUGUGUAGUUUAAUUUAAUUUAUACACUUGUUUUGGCAUCUAUAGUGUUUGAACUAACGACUAACUAGUAACAUGAGCAAAGGCGAUCAGCCUCUGGCUCUUCAUGACAUGAUACUCUGUUAUAAGGAGAUAGAAAACCCCUUAUGUUAACCAACAUGAAGUUGCUCUAUGUAAUCAUACAAAUGAUUCCAUUUCCACUUUUGUCCGUCUCUCAAAUGUUCUUAUUCAUCUCGGAGUCAAGCUUUGCCCUAAAUCCUCGAACCUUAAUUGAAACAAUGUCCUUUAGUUUCUCCACAAGGCCAGGUCUUUGGCUUUGCUUCCUUACAGUUUCAAUCAGAAGCCGAUAUUCCGAUAGCGUAGCCUCUGGUAAAGGUUCCAAGAACUCACACUUAGACAAGAUCUCCGGAGGAGGAACACCUGUGACCAGGUUUGUGUCCAGUUUUGUUCUGUCUUUCUUUGUUUUUUCGGGUUCUGUAACCAGAGGACCAUCAAGAGCUGAAGGAGAUGCACCAGGAAUUACUUCCCGUGUGAAUGGUAACGAUCUUGCAGGUUGCAAGCAGAAUUCUAUCCACUGGUUGAUUAAUGGAGAUGGGCCUCGGACUCGUCCUCCUCUUUGUUCUGCUUCUUUACCAGAGUCAGAAACAGCCGGGAUCGCCUUGAAAAACAAUUAUGCUUCACGGUUUAGUGUCCAGAUAUGUUAUAUCGUCUUUAGAACAAGAAGCAUUCAAGAUAUCAGAUGAAGGGUUAAGUGAUUUUACGACGGUAACUUACCCAUAGAUCAGCCCAUAAGGUGGCACCGGAUUUGGGAACAAUCACUGUAACAUUAGACAUACGUUUUGCGACAGGGAUAACAUCGCUGCUCCAACCAACAGUGACCCAGACAUCUCCGACAUUGAAAGCUUUUAAAUAGUUGUUACUAUCAAAUAGUCUAAUCUAUAAGCAAAAGGGGAAACAAGAUCAGCCACCAUUGUCAUUUUUUCUCAAUAACUAUAGAGGUUGAGUGAAACACGUCAGCCUAAACUCAUCUGUUCUCUUUAGGGUAUGGAGAGAUAGUAAAGAGGUAAUAACCUGUUUCAUGAGUGAUGCCAGAUUUUUCUCCACUGCUAAUCUUCCGCCAGGAACUUGUGAAUCCAGGUCUGUCGUAUUGUAUGAUGCUCUCAUGUAUUUGAGAACAGCACCAACAACCUCUCUAGGAGAAUUCACCAUUGCGAUCCUUCCUGCAAGCUCGGGUCGCCACAGAUCAGCCCAGUCCUAAAUUCAGCAAAAUGUUCAGUGAUAUUCACUUCUUUUAAAUAGGAAAACACUAAGACAGCAUUUAGCAACAACAAAGUAUACCAACCUCUAUCGGUGCCAAUUUAUAAUUCUGAAAUUUGCUCUUUUUGUAUGCUAUAACCAUGGUGCCCCAGCGGUAUGGCACAGCCCACGUUUCACCGUCAGGAGCUUUUUCUCCCGCAUAGUUCCUGCGGAGAUAAAUCUGAGACUUUCUAAGUCAUGAAAUGAACCCUAUGAACAUUCCCAAGCUAGCAGAGUACGAAAACAAAACACAUGAAAGAUUAUGCCUAUUAAAAUCUCUCAAGCUAGUGUUCUUUCAAAAAGACUCAUAUUCAUAUUGUUAAACCACUGAUUUAAAUUCUCACCUUCCAUUUAUCACUCAAGCCUUUAUACCAGUCUUGAUCUUCUAUCCCUUUCAUUGGCUCAAUUAGCUUUUCCUUAAUAGCAAAACUAAGCCAAGAAUCACCAAUGCUGAUCAUAUCAGCUGCUGCAGUUGAAGCAGCCCCCUUUUUUCCAUUCUUACUUGGUUUCGAUAGAUCGAAAAAGAUCUCUUCAAGAUUUCCUCGAAACUGAGUCUUUAACCUCACUCUCUUCCCUUGUGAGCUCAUAAACUCCUAAAUUCCAUUCACAGAAUCCAACAACAUACAUUUUCAACUAUAAGCUUAAGAUUCAAAAUAGAAAUGGAAACACAGACAAGUGAAACUAAAACCUUGAUCCAUGAUGGUGGCACUGAGCCACGCAAGGCAACGAGUUUUAGCGGGACAGUAAGAGAAUACACUUUAGACUUGUACGCUUCGAAAUCAGCUUCCAGUUUUUCUUCAUCUUCAACUUCAUUUAGAUUCUCUUCACCUGCAAAAACAUUCCAUUGGAACACAAAAUUCAAAUCCAUCGAAAUCCCAAGAGUGACGAAAAUGUUCAAUUUCACGCACCAGCUACAGUUUCUGUGUUGAUUUCAUUCUCUGUAACGACAAUCGGCGGUGGUAGUAUUCGAGCGGAGGCCGGAGAACAGACGCGGAGGCUACUUAAACCGAUGAACAACACGGUCGAGGCAGAGAGACCAACGAUC
rnacentral:lncRNA from 1 species